rnacentral:lncRNA from 1 species
UUUUUUUGAAUUUUUUUUAAAUUUAAUUUUUUUUAUUAUAAGAAUUUGAAAUAUAUAAUUAUUUAUACCUUAGGUACCGUUUGAUUCGGGUAUAAGCAAGAACUAGCUAUUACAGGGAUAGGUACAAGUAUGGGGAUAAAAAAAAUAGCGUUUGGAUGAAAAUUGGGUUGUUCCCGAGAAUAAGAAAAAUAUUAGGAAGUUUUAUAUAGAAAAUGGAGGUGUUGGUGGGGAUAACCGAGAACUACUAUUCUCGGGUAAGACAGUGUUUGGUUAGAGAAUAGGAAUAGGAAUAGGUCUUUAUCCACCCCCUUUAUAUCCAAACGCUAAUUUUUUAUCCGAGAAUAGUAGUUCUCGAUUAUCUCCACCAACACCUCUAUUUUCUAUAUAAAACUAUCUAAAAUUAUUCUUAUUCCCGAAAACAACCCAAUUUUCAUCCAAACAUUAUUUUUCUUAUCCCCAUGCUUGUACCUAUUUCUGUAAUAGCUAGUUUUUGCCUAUAAAACUAUUUUUUACCCAGUUUAGAUUGCAUAAAUUAAGUAUAAAUUUUAAUUUUCUAAUAUUGAUCAUUUAUAUAUAAAUUGUAUAAUAAAAAAUAAAAGAAAGAUGAAUAGAGUUUAAGUUAAUAUUUAAUAAAUUUAGUUGUAGAAAUUACAUGAAGUACUAAUUAAAUAUGUAAAACUAAACAAUAUAUUCAAAUUUUGAAGUCAAAGUAUCAUUAAGUGACUCAAAUUUAACAUAUAAAAAUGUUAGCUAGUAAAAAUAAAAUUUUGAAAGGUCUGAUAACUGAUUCAAAAUGGUUCGUAGUUCAAAAGAGUUUUGUACAUUUUUACUUUAAUUUUAAUAUCAAACCUCAAUAUCAUAUUUAUAGUCUGAUGAGUGAUUAAUUUCAUAUUUAAAAUAUUUUGGAAUAUACAAAAUAUGAUUGGUCAACUUUUAAUUUUAACAAAAAUAUAUUAGAUGGUACAGCAUGUUCUUUCCUAAAAUAAAAUUAGUAAUUGCAAAAAACCGAUCAAUGCUCAAUUCUUUCUUUGUCUAGAAUAAAAUUAAAAUAUAAAAAAGAUAAAUUACGCUUUUGAUCCUCAAACUAUAAAACACGUGAUACUCUAGUCUUCGAAUUUAAAUGGAUUAUAUUUUCUUACUCAGAGUAUGAGGCACGUGAAGCUUUAGUUCUCAAACUUUAAUGAGUUGUAAUUUCAGGCUGGAACCAUAAAGUAUAUGAUAUUUUAAUUCUCAACUUUUACUACUACUAUAAAUAUAAUUUAUUAUUCUCAUAAUUAUUUUUUUAUUUUUUAUAUUUUUAUUAUUAUAUUUUUACUAUAGCAGCUAUUUUUUUAUUUUUUUAACUUUAUUUGUUCCUACAUAAUCGAUCAACCGCAAUGCGCUGAUACCUUCACUAGUAAACCACAUGCUUCUCCAGUAGUGUCUGUAUUUCCAAUUACAUCAACUCAAAAUAAGGUUAAAGAGCUAGAAGCCUAGAAUUGGUGUUUGAUGUUCUUGGCCAAGCAGGUGAUUUAGGUGUCUCUCAAAGUGGACCACAUCUAGCACAGGUUGUCCUUCCUUGAUAGGGAGCAUCAAAGUGGCUUUAGGCAGGGAAAUUCAUUAUAGCUUCAUGUUCAUUCAUAAGUUUCUCAGUAAUUUACACUUUUAAUUCUCAAAUUAUAAGGCGCGUGAUACUUAGAUGCUCAAAUUUAAAUUUGUUAUAAGGGUCCGUGCUUUGCAGCGAAUAGAUAGUAUUUCAAUAUAUGUGAUAUUUGUACACAUAUAUAUCCGGUGCACAUAUAUACUCGGUACAGAAUAUGCUUAAUUUAAUAGACUCAUAGUUUUAAGAGAGAGAAUAAAUCUUUUCCUGCACCUAGUAUAUACUAAUGCUUCAUACAAGCAUAUUAAAUAAUUAAUAAAAUAUUUAAUAAUCAGUAGGACAACAUAAAAUAUAAUAUAAAAUACUUAAGUAAUUUAUUAUAGGAAAAACUUCAAAUACCCCCCUGUGGUUUCGCACUUUCUCACUUUAGUAGCCUGUGGUUUAAAGUGUAUCAAGUUAGUACCAUUUAGUUUCGUACUUUUUCACUUUAGUACCCUAUGGUUUAAUAAGUUGAGCAUCGAUGAGAACUUUUCAAAAGGUUUAAUAAUAAAAUCAAAGUAAAAACAUACAGAACUUUUCUAAACUACAAACUAUUUUGAAUCAGCUAUCCAACCUUUUAAAACUUUAUUUUUACUAUCUAAUCAUUUUAUAUGUUAGAUCUGAAUAAGUUAAUGAUAUUUUGAUUUCAAAAUUUGAAUAUAUAAUUUAGUUUCAUAGAUUUAAUUAGUACUUCAUGUAAUUUUUGCAACUAAAUUUAUUAAAUAAAUAGUUAACUUAAACUUCAUCUAUCACUUUUUUAUUUUUUAUUGUACAAUUUAUAUCUAAGUGAUCAAUAUUAUAAAAUUAAAAUUUAUAUUUAAUACUGGAAUCUAAACUAUUUAAAAGUACGUAUAUAUUUUAAAUUUUUUUGAUAAGGGAGAAAAUUUGAUUAAAUUUUUAGAAAAAAUCGCUUCUCAAAAUUAAUAAAAAAUAAAAAAAAAUUAAAAAUAUGAAAAAAAAAAGAUGGGCCCCACCUGCCUGGGCCUAACUCCCAUCCUUCCCGCUAAAAUUGAAAUAUACCAUCACAAAAAACUAGUGCAGGACCUGCACUUUGCAGCGAAUAAAUAGUAUUUCAAUAUAUGUGAUAUCUGUACACAUAUACAUCCGGUGCACAUAUAUACUCAGUACAGAAUAUUCUUAAUUUAAUGCACUCAUAAUUUUAAGAGAGAAAAUAAAUCUUUUCUUGCAACUGGUAUAUACUAAUGCUUUAUACAUGGUGUAAGUAUAUUAAAUAAUUAAUGAAAUAUUUAAUAAUCAGCAUAGCAACAUAAAAUAUAAUAUAAAAUACUUAAGUAAUUUAUUAUAUAAUAUAAUAUAAAUUUAUAUUUGAUACAUAGAUAUUGACAUAUUAAUGAUAUUUAAUUAAACAAUUUAAUCAUAAUAUUUGUUUAAAAAAAUAUGUGGAACAAUUGUUACGGAUUUUACUAAUUUGAAGACCAAAAGUGUAAUUAUUCCAAAUGAAAAUAAGUUGAGCAUCGAUCAGAACUUUUCAAAAGGUUUAAUAUUAAAAUCAAAGUAAAAACAUACAAAACUUUUCUAAACUACGAACUAUUUUGAAUUGGCUAUCUAACCUUUUAAAGUUUUAUUUUUACUAUCUAACCUUUUUAUAUGUUAGAUUUGAAUCAGUUAAUGAUAUUUUGACUUCAAAAUUUGAAUGUAUCAUUUAGUUUUACAGAUUUAAUUAGUACUUCAUGUAAUUUUCGCAACUAAAUUUAUUAAAUGAAUAGUUAACUUAAACUUCAUUUAUCACUUUUUUAUUUUUAUUGUACAAUUUAAAUCUAAAUGAUCAAUAUUAUAAAAUUAAAAUUUAUAUUUAAUACAUGAAAUCUAAACUAUUUAAAAGUACGUAUAUAUUUUAAAUUUUUAUGAUAAGGGAGAAAAAUUAGAUUAGAUUUCUAAAAAAAUCCACUUCUCAAAAUUAAUAAAAAAAGAAAAAUUAAAAAUUAAAAAUAUGAAAAAAAAAAAGGUGGGCCCCACCUGUCUGGGCCUACCUCCGUCCUUCCCGCUCCCCGCCCGCCCCCAGGCCCCCCGCCCUCUGUUUUGCCACGUAUACCCGAAUAGACUCAACUUUCAUGCCCUAUAAUAAAAUUGAAAUAUACCAUCAUAAAAACUAGCACAGAACCCACGUUUUGCAACGGAUAAAUAGUAUUUCAACAUAUGUGAUAUCUGUACACAUAUACAUCCAGUGCACAUAUAUACUCAAUACAGAAUAUUCUUAAUUUAAUGCACUCAUAGUUUUAAGAGAGAAAAUAAAUCUUUUCUGCACGUAUACCUGAACAAACUCAACUUUCAUACAUUUAUAGAUGACAUAAAAGUAAUAUAUAUAUAUAUAUAGAGAAAGAGAGAGAGAGAGAGAGAGAGAGAAGAGUCCUGCUGGGAUACUAUCGAUAGCACGAAGCAAUUGGUGCUAUCAAGUUUUCUGCCGUUAGAUUUAUCUCUUUUAUCAUUUUUAUCCGUUCGAUUAUACUAUUCAACUAACCUCCCACUCAACCCUACGGAGCUCACAUCUCCCUAAUCACACAUCUUUUAAUCCAAGGGUAGAAAACUUAAUAGCACUAAGUCAUUGGUGCUAUUAAUAGUAUUCCAGCCUAGUUCUAUAUAUAUAUAUAUAUACAUAUAUACAAAUAAAUAAAAUGAGAGUCUAAAAGGAGCCCUCCCCGCGUUUGGGGGGUCCGGUGGGGCCCACCAGCGAGGAGCCAAGGCGCGGUCACGGGCUCGGGCAGGCAAAGGUGUGGGUAGCGUUUAACGAGCCGAAACGACGAACGGGUCGCUCUGUUCCGCUACAUUUAAAACACGAACAGUGUCUUCUCGGUUCACUGCUGAGAUCUGAGCGAAAAAUUCAGGCUCGCGUUCACUGGGAGCUUGGCUCACGAGCUGCUAACGAACAUAAAUUAAAAAAAAUAUAGAUUAAAUAUAUAUAAAAGAUAAAUUAUACUUAUCCAUUAAGAACUUUGAUCUAAAUGUUAAAAGCUUACAUAUAAUAGUUUUUUAAUAACUAAACUUGCAUUAAUAUUUAUUCUUUGUUAAAAUAAAUAAUAAAAAUAAUACUAUUAUUAUUUAUUUAUUUAUAUUAAAAAUAUAAUUAAUAAAAUUAUAUAAUAAUAUACUAUAUGUAUUCAACUGUUUUCUAGAGCAGGGAACACGAGCGAGCUGACCCAGCUCGUGUUCCGUCUCUUUAUUAACCGAACUGAAAAAUCGCAGCCUCGUGUUCGGCUCGUAUAAAUGAGCAGCUGAUCUCGAGCUCAAUUGAGCCGAACACCGAGCUGGCUCGGCGAACAGCUACUCAUUGCCACGCCUAGGUGCGGGCACGGGCGGGCACGGGAAUAGGCGCGGGCGCGAGCCGGGGUGGGCCUGAGGCGUGGGUGGCAAGAGGGCCCGCGCGGGUGCAAACCGGGGCAGGCGUCGGGCGGGGUGCGCGAGCCGGCGCGGGCCAGGCGCGAGCCGGCACGGGGCAGGCACGGUGAGGUCGUGUUUUUUUUGCCUUUUUCAUUUAAUUUUUCCUCUCUGCUUGCUCCUUGCCUCUCUCUCUCUCUCUCUCUCUCUCUCUCUCUCUCUCUCUCUCCGAUAUCCCCAUGCGGAUCCGCCGGGAUCCGCGGCACGAUCUUCAUCGGUAAGGGAUCUGGCGUGGAUCUUUUUCUCCUCCUUCCCCUCCCCAUCGCGCGAUCGGCCCGGAUAAAGAUUGAUGGCUCUUUUUUUUUUCUUUUAUACUUAUAAAUUCCAACAGUCGUUUGUUAUUAUUAUUCCUUUCGUUUUUAUCCUCAUUUUUUUAGGAUCGCUGACCAAAUUUUUUUAUUUUAGCAUUUGUGAAAUAUUAUAUCAGAAAUUUUAUUUACAUAUUAUAAAAUUUAUAAUUAAAUAUUUGUGUCAAAAUUAUCCACGAUGAAGCGCGGGUACUACAGUCGUAUAUAUAUAGUAAGGCGACUAUAUUCUUAUAAGUAUAGAGCUUUUCGUACUUAUAAGUUAUUUUUGAUGUUGGGGCUUUCGAAUUGACGAUCCACACCGUUAAACAUGAUCUAAAGAAUUUGAAACUUUCAAAAAAUCAAUUUCGUAAUUUUUCGAAAUCAUUAUAAAGUUCAUCAAGCGCGUAUAAAAUGAACGGUCAAAAUUGAACGACAUCCUAAAAAUGGAUGAUCAGAUUCUUCAAUAAGAUUGGAGUUAUUGAUCUUUAUCUAGGAAAUGAAUAGAAUUUUCUAUAAAAAAUUCAACAUAUUUCGAUUCUUUUACCGGCCAUUAAAAAUUUUCAAUUUUGUGAGCUUUUGAUCAUAAGGUAAAUGAUAUCGAAAAAUUAUAAAAUUUGAUUUCUAGACGUUUUAAAUGCGCUAGAUAAUGUUUAACGGUAUGGAUCGUCGAUUCAGAAGCUCUAUCAUCGAAAACAACUUAUAAGUACGAAGGUGAUUGUACUCAUAAGAGUAUAGUAACCGGACUCUCUCUCUCUCUCUCUCUCUCUCUCUCUCUCUCUCUCUCUCUCUCUCUCUAUAUAUAUAUAUAUAUAUAUAGAGUUGAGCUAAAAUACUAUCGAUAGCAAAUGAGCUCCGUUGCCAUCCAUUUAUUUUUGAUGAUGGAGCAUCCAAAUCGACGAUCAGCACCGUUGAACAUGAUCUAUACCACUUGAAAUGUUUAGAAAUCAAAUUUCAUACAUUUUCGAUAUUGUUCUCUUAUCCAUCGAGUGGAUAUAAAAAUGAACGGUUGAAAAUGAAUAUUCUUUAAAAACUGAUGAUAGGAGUCUUGUAAUCAAGAUCAAGAGUAUAGAUCUUGUUUUAAAUAGUUUAAGAAUUUUCUAACAAAAAUUCAAUUGAUUUGAAUAUCUUUACGCCGUUAACCGAGAAAACGUAUCAUAUCGACCAUUAAAAUUACAAAUGUUGAAACCUUUUGAUCAUUAGGCAAAUGAUGUCGAAAAGAUUUGAAAUUUGAUUUCUAAAUACUUCAAGUGGUAUAGAUCAUGUUCAACAGUGCCGAUCGUCGAUUUGGAGGCUCUAUCAUAAAAAACAAAUGGGUGGCAACAGAGCUCGUUUGCUAUCGAUAGUAUUCUAGCUCAACUAUAUAUAUAUAUAUAUAUAUAUAUAGAGUGAGGCUACUAUGCUAUCGGAAGCACGGAGCCUUCCGUGCUUCCAGCUCGUUUUCAAUGUUGCAACUUUCAAAUCGUCGAUCGGCUCCGUUAAACUUGAUCUAGAGUAUUUGGAGUACCUAGAAAAUAAAUUUUAUUAUUUUUCGAUAUCAUUUGCCUAGUGAUCGAAUAGGCUCAAAAUCAACAAAUUAAUGGCCGUAUGAGCCGUUGCAAGUAUUGAAUGGAUGUACGAAUACCAAAUCACUUGUGAAAUUUGAUAGAAAAUACUUUAUACUAUAUAAAAAAAAGAAAAAAAAAACAAAUAUAUCUUGAUUUAAAAUUAAUGUCAUAUAUUACAUUGAAAUUUUUAUUUCCAGCCGUUGAUUUAGCCCCUAUCGUAUCACCUAGGCAAAUGAUAAUCGUAAAAAUCCAUAAAAUUAUAAUUCACUAGGUACUUGUCAAUACUCUAUGAUCGAAGUUUAACGGAGCCGAUCGUCGAUUCGAAAGUCGCAACAUCGAAAAUGAGCUGGAAGCACGGAAGGCUCCGUGCUUCCGAUAGCAUAGUAGCCUCACUCUAUAUAUAUAUAUAUAUAUAUAUAUAUAUAUAUAAUUGAGCUCCUAUGCUUUUAAAAGUACCAAGUCAUUCGUACUUGUAAGUUUUAGGCCCUUGGAUUAAAGGAUGUGCGGUUAGGAUGAUGUGGGCCCCCUAGAGUUGAGUGGGUGGUUGGUUGAAUAAUAUAAUCUAACAGAUAAAAAUGAUCAAAGGCGGAGAUCUAACGGUAAAAAAUUUACAAGCACCAAGUGCUUGAUACUUUUACAAGCGCCAUAGCCGGACUCUCUCUCUCUCUAUAUAUAUAUAUAGUUGAGCUAGAAUACUCUCAAAAGCAUCAUGGGGGUGGUGCUUUUGAGUUUUUAGCCAUUGGAUGGAAAGAUGUGAGGUUGAGAUGAUGGUGGUAGGUGGUGGUAGGUGGUGGUAGUGUUUGAUCCAAGGGCUAUUAGUAAUCAAGAAGUAGAUCCAAUGGCUAAAAACCUAACAGCACCAUGGGGGUGAUACUUGUAAAAGUAUUCUAGCUCAAUUAUAUAUAUAUAGUAGGUCUUGUGUAGUAUUCUUAGUUUUUGGGUUGCCUGCGAGAUUUCAGCAUCUGAGGCUUGUCGACACAUCUGGAAAGUGUCGGGACAAGUCAGAGUCAUUUUGGCGCGAAAUAAACGCAAAACGGACUCAGUGCGAUGCGAAAGCAGAGUUUUAACAUUGAAAUCUGUAAAGUGCAGGUUUUCAGUGUUGAGUACCGGUACCCCAGUGUAAUUCCAAACAGAUUGCUCUCGGGUUGCGCCAAUUUGAUGCUGAGUACCGAUACGGCAUCGGGCUAGUACCGGUACCCUGUGUGCGAGCUUGUGGGUUGAGAGGCCAUUUGAGUUGGUAGAAGAUAUUGUAGUCUUUAUUGAGUUGGUGAGGGGUAUUAUAGUCAUUGUGUUGGAUAAGAUUGCCACCGAAGCUUCCAUAUCCUUAUCAACUUAAUUAGCUGAGAGCUUCUCCUUUUCCCUUUAAUUUAGCUCGUGUGCAGGGUAAAGAGCUCGAGCUCGGGAGAUUUUCGUUGUCGUUUCGGAGGGCCGUUCGAGCGUGCGUGCGUCGUGGUAGCACCGUUGGAGGCCGGGCGAGCGCGUGUUUUCCUCUCCUUCUGACUUCUCGCCGUCGUUGGAUUAGCUUUGCGAGGUGGGUUAAUGAUAUGCUUACCGGAUUCUACGGAUUUCCUCCUAAGCCUAGUUGAUGUCAGCAUAUAUAUUUUUAGUCUUUGUAUAUCAUAUUGUUUAGCUCGAAUUUGUUGAUUUGCAUGCUAAUUAAAAUCUGAAUUUGGAGUAUACAGUAGUGAUUAGAUAAAUUAUACAUAUUGGACUUGAAAAUUGACUUAGUAGAAACUAUCAAUUCUACACCGUCAUUUUUUGAAACUACCAGAUUUAGCUCUAGGAGCCGUAGUUUGUUUGUAUCGUCGCAAUUUAUGGGCGGUAGAUAUCCAGAAUAGUGUAGAAUGAUUUUACGCUUGUGCUGGGAUGCCGAGAUUAAUUUUUACAGUAGUAUAUAGAUUGUUCCGGACUGUCGGGUGCCGUUGUGGUUGACGGUGGACCCAGUUUGCAGUUUUUGUAUCGGAUUGUGCCAAGGGCACGUAGAUUAUGGUUGUUAGACCAGUUAAACCUUUCUACUUUGUUUAUAGCCUGCGAGAGCCUGAAUGAACGUGGCAGAGACACUUGUAAACUCGGUUGGGUCGCGCCCACGAAUGCCAUUCCGGAAUGAGGUUUCAGUGCGAUGAGGUCGCAGUUUCUGUUUGGACAGUUCUUGAGCCGGCCACCCUCGUGGUGGUGUACAGCGUAGCUGGAUAUAGGCAGGAUAGGUCCGUUUGGGCAGCCCGGGUAAGACAGUUAGUGACGUCUUUCUCUAACUUCAGUGAGAUUGUGACGUGAGUGGAGUCACUGCCGUCCUGUCGAACCUUGGUACUUAGACCGACUACUUUUGAGCUACGGUGUAGCCUAGUUGAGCGGGACGGGUGUAUUCACAGUCCUUAGAGAGUUUUCUCCACAGGCUACUCUUGGGGUUGGUAUGCGGGUUCGCUUCGACAAGCAGGACGGGUGUGUUCACAGUCCCUAAUGAGAUUGGGUCAGGAUUUACAUUUUCUACAGAUAGUUAGUGUUGGAUCACGAUAGUAUAGUAGCAUAUAGCUGUAGAUUUGUUUCAGCUUGCUCUACUAUCCUUGCUUACCUCUGUAGACUUAGUGGGUGAGCCGUUGAGGUCGGUAGCGGUACCCACUAAGGACUACUUCUUUUUGCAGUAGUUCUUAUACCCAGUUGUGGGCCCUUUUUACAGAGCCCUCUUCUUCUGCUGCUGCUGUUGCGGAUACUAAUUGUGGAAAGAAAGUCGCGAGCUAGAUCCCUUCCCGUUUUGCUGCUGAUCUAGAGUAUGCCAACUACAGAUAGUUUUGGUUCUGGGUUCUUAUACAUACUGAUGUUAGUACCUCACCGGAGCGAGUGUUUUGUAUCAGGAUACUAUGUAUGUAUGUGGAACCGAUGUUAUUUAUAUAUGCAUUUCUUUUUAGCAGCUCUAUAUUACUGGUUGUAGUAUUGUAUGAUUACAGAUACAGGUACAACUAUCGCUUCAUAUGCAGAAAAAAUUUCUAUGUAUACGGCGGGUCUGUUAGCGUGCCCGGAAAAACGAGUAAUCCAGGGCGUGACAUCUUGUGUGCUAUUAGGAGCACGGAGGCCUCCGUACUCCCAAGCCGUUUUCAAUGAUAGAGCUUCCGAAUCGACGAUCGGCUCAGUUAAACUUGAUCUGGUAUAUUUGAACUAUCUAGAAAAUAAUUUUUGUAAUUUUUCUGUAUCAUUUUCAUAACGAUCGAAAGGGUUCAAAAUCAACAAUUUUUAAUGGUUAAUGUAUACCGUUUUCAAGUUUAACGGUGUAGAAGUAUUCAAAUCAGAUGCAAUUUUGAUAGAAAAUUCUUUAUACUAUUAACAGGAAGAUCAAUAUGUUUGAUCGAAAAUUUUAAUGUUAUAUCACCAUUUUUGUGAGAUUUUUAUUUUCAGCCGUUAGAUUUUGAACCCUUUUGAUCGUUAGGUAAAUAAUAUCGAAAAGUCACAAAAUUUAUUUUCUAAAUACCUCAAAUAUGCAUACUUCAAAUAUGCUAGAUCAAGUCUAACGGAGCCAAUUGUCGAUUCGGAAGCUCUAUCAUCGAAAACGGCUUAGGAGCACGGAGGCCUCCGUGCUCCUAAUAGCACACAAGACCUACUCUAUAUAUAUAUAUAUAUAAUUUUAUUUUAUUUUUUUGUAAAUAUAUUGUUAUAUAAUACUUUAUUUAUAAAUAUAUAAUAAUUUAUUUUGGGAACCAACAAAAAUAGUGCUUUUAUUUCAAUUAAUUUUUUAUUUUUAGAGACUUUAGGGACCAAAAAUAGUACCUAAGUUUUCUUUUGCAUAACAAUUUUGGUCACUAAAAUUUGUAAAUUUUUCACUUUAGUCCCCAAAUAUAAAAAUUCAAAAUUUUAAAUUUAAAUCCAGAAUUAAUUUUGAAAUUAAAAUUUUGAACUAAUUAAUUAGUAAUUAGAAUUUUGAAUUAUAAUUUGAAUUCAAAUUUUAAAUUGAAUUUUAAAUUGAAUCUAAAUUUUGAUUUCAAACUUAAAUUUUGUAAAUUUUGAUUUAAAACUUUAAUUUUUUUUAUUUUGAUUUUGAUAUUGUAAUUUGCAUUCAAAAUUAAAAUUUUAAUUUAAAGUAAUAUUAAUAGUUAUAAUAAUUUACUAUUGUAUUAUCUUCCCACCGUAUCGAACUUAUUAAUCGGGAACUCUUACAGGUUCGAACUGCUCUCCGCAUCCCACGAAAGGUAUGCGAUAAAUAAUAUUUAAAAAUAUUAAUGUAUAAUAGAAAAAAAAAAGGUGAUAUUAAUAGUUAUAAUAAUUUACUGUUAUAUUGUCUUUUCGUUGCAUCGCGCCCGCCGCAUUNUUCAAAAAAAAAAUCAAAUUUGACUUUAGUAAUAAAAAAAAAAAGAUUAGAGAGUGCCUGCUGCUGGAUAAGUGGCUAGUAUUGCUUUAGAUUUCAUUUUUUUGCUGAUUUGUAAUAUCUCAAUGGUUCUUCAGAUUUUUUUUAUUAAAAAUAUUUAAAUUAUUAUCAUUCAAGUCAAGUUGGAUAAUUAUAAAAUUUUUUAUUGAAGUAGUACAAUUACUGUAGAUUCUUAGGUGAUAGGAAUACUAAAUUAUUAUGGAUUAGGAGAUAUUUUAUUUUCAUAUUUGACGGAAAUUAUUAGUAGUCAAUUAAUAAGAAUACAAGUCAAGUUAGAUAAUUGUAAAGAUUUUCGUUGCAGUAGUGAAAUUAUUAUAGAUUCUUAGAUGAUAGGAAUACUAAAUUAUUAUGGAUUUGAAGAUAUUUCAUUUUCAUAUUUGAUGAAAAUCAUUAGUAGUCAAUUAAUAAGAAUAUAUAUACUAAUUUUUAACAAACUUUGGACCAAAGUGACUUAAUAAAUUAGUAACAAACUUGCUAUUUCAUGUAUAAAAUAUAUAAUACUUUUUAAAAUAAUAUAAAUUUUGAACUAAACAAACUCUAAAAAUUAGCAUCCUUACUUAAUAUUCUAUUCUAAAUAUAUUUUCACUUCGUUCUUAAAAUGCAUCUGUAUUUUAAAUGGACAGUCAAAUUGAUUCAUGCAGGCCCGAACUGCUGCUUGCACAAAACAUAGGGAUACAAACUGGGUGAAUCUUGUAACGCCCCCAAUAGUGCCACAUCGGAUGGGAUACUGAUUCCGAUAAGUUUAUAUGAGGCCUACACGUUAGUAAUAAUAACUGGGCUUAAGUAUUUUUGGGCCGGUGGUUUGGGCCCAACGAGUUAUUAUUGCUAGCCGGUCGGAUCGUUAUAAUUGGUAUCAGAGCCGAAUACCAGCCGGAAGUGUGAGAACUAAGUGCUAUGCGGGACAAAGUGAUCUGGUUUGGACCCGACGAGGACGUCAGGGUCUAAAUAGGGGAAGUUUGUAACGCCCCCAAUAGUCCCACAUCGGAUGGGAUACUGAUUCCGAUAAAUUUAUAUGAGGUCUACACGCUAGUAAUAAUAACUGGGCUUAAGUAUUUUUGGGCCGGUGGUUUGGGCCCAACGAGUUAUUUUUGCUAGCCGGUCGGGUCGUUACAAAUCUGUGGUUAGAUUGGGACAGAUUCGGGGCGUGUUAAUUUUAAUCUUAUUUUUUGUGAAUUUUUGACGAAUUGGAAGCAAAUCAAAGAAGAAAAGAAUCUUCCGCCUCCUACUCUAUUUACCUGACGAAUGAAUAUAUACAUUUUUUUUGAGAGAUAGGUAGCACGCUACCCGCUUCGUUUAUUUCAUUUAGAAAUAAACUUAGCUAGAAAUAUGAAUCAACUAGGAUUCGAACUAGAAUAUAUUUUUUAAUAUUUUUUGUUUCUAUUUACAUCUCCAUUCUAGUAGCUCCAUCAACCCGAAUCCAUUUGUAGCCGUAAGGGUCUGUUUGUUUUACCUCAAACUGGACUUUGCAUUGAAAUGGAAUUCUGUAAAAACUAUUUAUCCCCUGUUUAUUUCAUAGCUAUGGAAGUGAAGUUCCUUCAGUUCUGUUAUUUGUUUGGCAUAAAGUGAAUAAUAUAAAACUAUAAUGUAUAUAUAAAUAAUAAAUAAUUUAAUAAAUAAUAAAUUAUAAUAUAAUAAAUAAAAAUAAUAUAAUUAUUUUCCUAUAUAAUUAAAAAAAUUAAUCUAAAAGAACUAAAUUAUUUUUUAUACAUAAAGUAUAAUAAUACAAUAAUAAAAUUAUAAAGUAAAAAAAAAAUUAUAGAUACAUAGCAAAUCAAUUUUCAUCAUAUUUUAAAUGUACAAACUAAAUAAGAAAAUAAUAAAACUUAAUAAAUUAUAUUUUAAAUAUACAAACUAAAUAAAAGAGUAAUUAAUGCCAUAAUUAAAUAUACUUAAAUAUAUUGCUCAAUGUAUUAUUUUAUAUAUUUUUUUUCAUCCUUAUUUACCGCAUUCAGAUAACUUUCGAUCGUAUCUUUGAUACGGCAAAAUAAACAACGUAAAUAAUCAUUUACGGCUCGAAAUGACUUCACUAGUCUUUACUUUCAUCCAAAAGACAUGCUCUAGUGGAAGGGUAAAUUUAUACACAGUUCUUACUUGUAUCCGAACCAAACGCAACCGGCGUCAUUUUGUAUCCAAAAAAAAAAAAAAAAAAAAANGAAAAAGAAGAGGAAUCUAGUCAAAGGGCAAAUUUGUAAAUUUGCAAGGCCACAACCACACAAUCUCAUAUAUCUUUUAUUACCUCAAGCUGAGCUCACCGAUCUCUCUAUUCCCCACCCACAUCAUGUUCCUCUGUUGUGUAAAGUGGGAACUCUCUCUCUCUCCUCCACUCUCUACUCUCUCUCUCUCCUUUUUUUUUUUUUCUUUUCUUUUUUAGUAGAAGUAAUAGUACUACUGCUACUCUCUCCGCCCACAUCAUAUGUUCCAACCCUAUUUCCCAAAACAAGGUAAGCAAACCCUCUCUCCGCCCCACUGGAUCUGAUCCCCACCCUCCUCCUCUCCUCUCUCUCUCUCUCUCUCUCUCUCUCACAAAUUUUUUUUCUCUGUAACUUUGGAUCUUUCUCUCUCUCUCUAGGGUUUCUAUUUUCUCUUUGUUUUUCUUUCUUGCUUCUUCUUCUUCUUCUUGUGGUGUUGUGAUGGUAAUGGUGGUUUCCGGGCGCAGCGGUUUAUCGAUCUCUUCUUUGCCUUUGUUUCUUGUUUGUGGUUUGGAUUUUUUUUGUGGGGGUGGAGAAGAAGAAGAAGAUGAUGAUGAUGAUGAUGAUGAUGAUGAUGAAUCAGAAGAUGAUGAAUCAGGACGCGAAUGAGGAAGAGUGAGAAAAAGGAGGGUACAAAGCUGGAAUCGAUCGAUAAACCUCUGCAUCCGGCUCUCACUUUCUCUCUCCUCUCCUUUUUAGGGUUUUGGGUUUUUUUUUUCCUUUAUAUUUUUGGCUUUUUUUGGCUUUUUUUUAGUGUAUGGAGAUGCCCUUGAACUUCAUGUUUUUUUUUUUUUUUUUUUUGGUGGUUGAUGUGGAUAUUCUUUAGCUUUUGUUCGUUUUGUUUUGAUUUGAGCUAUUUUCAUUUAUCGAAUCGGGGUUUGUUAAUCUUAGUAAAUUUUGAGUUUGAAGUGUUUAAUUUAUGUGACAAAAUUUCAAUUUAAUUGACUAAAAUAACUCUAAUCAGAAUAAAGAAAAUGAAAUCUCCAUACAUGUUUUCCCCUUUUUUUUUUUCUUUUUUUUUGUUCCAGGUUCUGAUUGAUUGCUAUUUUCUUGCAUUAUUUGUUGCAUCUCACAUCUGAUCUGUGGGGAAAAAAUAGAUAUAAAUAUGUAUCAUCAGUCUUAUGGACCAAUCGUAGAUUAUACGUAUUAAGUUUUUGCUUGUUAUAUUUGAUCUUUGGUGUUUACCAAAUGAAAUAAAAAAAAAAUAAAGAUUUGUCUAAGAAUCUAGAUUUGCAAUGUCCAUGAUUGUGUGAUUAAAUAUGAAAGUUUAAAGGUUUUGAUAUGAUUUCUUUCGAAAGUGGCUUUUUAUGUAUCUAAUGAAAUUUGAGUGUAUGAGAAACACCAAUACAUCUUAUUCCCACACACACACACACAUUGUAUUGCUUAUUUCUUUUAAAUAUGUCAAAAAAAAAAAGGUUUCUUGAGUUCUAGAUAUCUGUGUUCGAAUCAUUUUAUCAAGUUUAUAAUUUGCUUAAUUCUUCUAUUUUUUUGCCUCUUUCAGUGAGUGCACAACGAAAUGUUUUAUUACAGUUGUUGUUCCUCUUUUUGUGAAGGCUCAGAUAUGUGAUAGAUGACAUACUUUAUCUGUUUCUAAUUAUAUGAUCUGAUACAUUUACUGAUUUACUAUAUAAAUACUGCUUUGUUACUUGGUUUUAACUUUUUCAUGAUCUUGCAUGUAAGUUCUUGGACAUGAUGCAAGUUCGAAAAUGUAGUAAAGUGUGUUAUAUUAUUUUUAUGCUUGCUUGCAUUUGGAAUACUUUAUUUUGCUUCUAUUUUUUUCGGUCAUAUAAAGGUGAUGAUUGGUUCGCAUGUCAAAAUUGAUUGAUUGGAAUAUAUUCUACGCUUAGUGAGUCUCAGGAUUCUAUAGGACUAGCAAUAGAAAGAAAUAUUAGAAAGAGUGUCGUGGUUGGAAUAUGUGCUAGCUUUUGAUCUUGGGAAAUAUAUAACUAAUUUGUUACGUAGUAUCAUCAGAAAGGACAGCAUGUUCAAAGAUUUGUCCUUGAGUUUUUCACUAAACGAUAAGGAGCAUACUUUUAUCCAUCUAGAGUAUGUGAUGUGUAACAUUUUAGAUUACCAAUUUCCAGUUACCAUUGGUGCUUGCCAAACGAAACUUAGGGUGCCAUUGUCCUUUCUUUUAUGUCAAACUGGUAGUAUCGCUUAAUACUAUGCCCCGGACAGAUAUGGUUCAUACUUAGGUUUUGCUUGUAAGACAAAAUUCAAGUGUAGACAUUGACAAUGAAUAUAUGAGAAUUUAAUAUAAUAUUUGAAAAGGCGCGCCCUUAGGCGCACCUGGGUGUGAGGCGAGGGCCUCAGUGCCUCAGAGAACUUGAGGCGCAAUGCCUCUCAGAGGCGCGUGCUUCAGGCAAGGUGCGAGGCGCAGUUGAGGCACGCGCCUCAUGAUGUUUAAGUUAAACGCCCUCUCGUGUUUGGGUUCUUGGAUCUCGAGCUUUGUAAAUAAAUUCUGAUCUGUUAACAGAUUUAGAAAACCCUAAAUACAACCCUUUUCUUCCCCUUUUGGCUUUUUGCGCCUCGUUCCUUUGAAAACACUGAUUAAAUAAUUGAGUUUAUUUACAUAAAAUUUGUUUGUGCAUGAUCAUUAACAGACACAAGCUUAUAAGAUACAAUAGUUUAUGACUUUGUAUAUGUACAACAAUCAAUUGAUAGAUUCGCUGUCAUUAAAAACUAAUUGCACCUGUUUUGGAAAUGUUCUAUUUUAGUUCCUUCAGCAGUAUCUACCAGGUUAGUAAGAAGGUUGUGCGCCGUAGUUUCAUAAAGUAUUAUGAUGGAGCCUUCUUGAAUGUGCUUAUUAACCAAACUUACAAUUGAUGAGAGAUGGCUCCAUGGAUACUGAUAAUGAUGUAUCUCUAUAUGAAACUAUGAGUAGGAUAUGUACAUAAGCGUAGCAAUACAUACAUAUUUGAUUUCUAAGGGACUUUUUGGUAAGGCAGUUUGAUAAAGCGUGCAUUAGUAUCUGUUUGAAUGAUUUUUACAUAGUAUGGAGUUUGAAUGCCUUAACUAAGUUAGGCUUCUGAAAACAUGGUUAUACUUGUCUUACAAAAUGUGUUAGGGUUAGCAGUUAUUUCUUGAAAUCACAAUAUGGUAAAAUGUAAAAUGCAACAUAUAAAAUUUAAAAUGAAAAAUAUUAGUAAAUUGAGGACAUUUGAUUUGGUAUGUAUGCAUGUAAAUAUAUAUGUACGCAUACAUACUUGAGUUGGUUAUUUUUCCCUAAAUUGCCUAUGGUCAAUCGAUUCACCUUUCGCAUUUAGAAGAGGAAACUAUGAAGGCUAUGGCAAUGUGGAAGAAUGCAAUCAUGAAUCCUAUUUGAGAGCUUAUAGGAUUCGCAAUUGAUGUAAUGAUGUGGUAGGCCCACAAUAUCUUAUAACACCUCACUUUCCUAUCUAGAUUGGCUAAAGAUAUGUAAUGGUGUUGAAAGGCUCGGGUGGCCUGCAAGAUGGUCUUUCAGGGGGCGGCUAGGGGCCGUGCUACCCUAUGCCCAGUCAUCCUAUGGCUUGGCAAGGCAGGUCGUGCCAUGCCAUUGGGAUAGCUUCUCACCCCGCACGACUUUCUUAUGUUUUUUCUUUUUAUAAAUAUAAUUAAAAAUGUUUUUUAAAAAAUUAUUUACAAUAUUUUGAAUAAGCAAAAUAUAUUUUAUAAUACUAUAUUAAGAAAAUUAAAAGUAAAAUUCAAAAAUUCAAAAGAUUUUGAAAAUUUUAAGAAAAAUAAAAAGACCGGCCUUCUUGGGCUAUGAACUAUUUCUACCCUCUUCCUUUGGAAUUUGGUCCUUAGACUAGGUGUGGUCCAGUUUGAUUCAGUGACUAAGUUCUAAGCAAGGAUUUAAGUGCCGUGGCACGGGGCCGUGCUGGAAACUUGCCGGCACUGUACGGCACGGUGCGUGCCGAGCCGUGCCGAUGCUUGGCGGUCAAAAAAAUUCUUGUGUGCCGACACAUAAUAGCAUGAAAUAUUUAUUUUCUUUAGCAACAAAAUAUUCUAAAUAUUUAUUAUGUCUUUUUAUCACAUCUUUUGAACUUUAUUGAGAAAAUUACUUACUAAUUUAAAAAAUAGAGGGUUUUGAGCUGUGCCUUCGGUACGGGGUCUGUAUCGUGCCGGUAUCUUGUUAGCACGGUACGGUAUGGUGGAUACGGCCCGUGCUGACGGGCACUUAAAACCUUGGUUCUAAGGAAAGGGAAUGGAGAUGGUCCAAAUUAUAGGGGCGGGCCAACUCUCUGUUAUCCAAAAAAAAGAAAAAUGAAACUUGAACUCUGGGCCAAAAUACCCUUUUUAGACUUUUUUUGACUACGGGUAUUUUGGUCCUUUUAUUUUAUUUCAAAGUAUUAUAAGGUUCCAAAAAAAUGAAAAAUAAUUGAAAUAUUAAGGGUUGGCACAAGGUUCGGGGCGGCCUGGCAUUGCCUAGCCAAUGCUGUCCGGAUUGGGGGUCAUGCUUGGUUGUAAGUUCGAGAAAUCCGGCUCGGUACUAGAAAGACUAGAUUCGGGGUCUGUCUAUUUCAGGUCCACCCUUGGCCCAUUUUGGCCACAAUCCUAAAGAUAUGUGAGGCAAUUUUUAGAGGAAAAAAUUGACUUGACAAUAGUUGGGCAAAUAUGCAUAUGCUAUAGAAUUUAUAUUGAUCUUGUUUAGGCACGUGUCCACCUAAACCCAGCUUAGCUCCACCAUUGUCUAUGUAGAAGUAUAAAUUAAUGGUGUAAUAUGCAUACGGAUGCAUGUUGUAAUACCGUGCGCACAAAAAUCUUGUGCACGGGGCGAUCCCGCUGCCCCUCUGAGGCGUGAUGCAUGUGGGCCAUUUGAUGCAAUAGCCUAGAUGUGUUCCACCCACAUUGAAUGGCCUAGAUGCGUCCCGCCUCAGAUGGACGGUGCGAUUGCCUUGUGCACAGGAUUUUCGUGCGCACGGGGUUGCAGGGAAAUCGAAUCGGAUGCAUAGGUGGUACAAGAUCGAGUAAAAGACAGCUAAACGAGAUGUUAGAGAGAUAGCUUUUAAAAGUGUUAUAUAAUCCUUUAUAGAGAAGAAAAUAAGGCUUCUACGAGAAUGUGGAAUAUCUUGAAGUCAAGAUUUUAGCUUCACUGAGACAACUACAAUUGUUUGAUCAACCAGUUCAAUUCUUUCCUAGACAAAGGAGGAGCGGAGGUUGUUGGACAUGAUGAAGGUCCUAAAAACGUCACACCAAAUUGAUAAGGUAGGAAGUUUAGAGUAUGUUAGCAUGUUUAACUAGGGAAUAUCUGAAUUUGUUACAAAUUAUAAUUUGCUCAUAGCCAAAAGUUGUCCUUGUUUGUAUUUUAUUUUGAAAUUGUCUUUUUUCUGAAAGACUGUCCUUUGUGAUGGGUUAGUCUUUAGCGAGUAAAUAGUAUGUAUGUUAAGUGAAAGGAUGCUUAGUAUAAAGGGUGUUUUAGUAUAUGUGACCUCCGAGUGGUAGUAGAAAACGAGUGGUCAAAGAAGGUAGGUCAAAAGUCAUUAUACCUCUUGUGUUAGUGUAAUUUUUCCUUCACAGAAAUUCGUGGUGUUAAAUUGAUUAUCCAAUUGUUACCUUGUAUGAUUUAAUUUGUUUUAUUCCAUUUCCUUUGUAUUAUAGGUGCUCGGAUGCCCUGAGGAUAAGUCCAAAAUUGGUCCUUGAUCAGAGGACUAUUAAUACCAUGGUCCUGUGGAACAAAAGAAAUAAAAGUACUGGACCGAAAUUCGAUAUACUGCAUUACUGCCAUAAUAUUAGAAAAGCUCAGCUACUUCUAUUCCAUGCCGCCAUGAUAUUGAAUUUCGCUCAGCCACUUUUAUUUCUUUCUUUCUAUAGUAGAAGUUUUGCAUGAUACUUUGAAUCAUCAUCUUUUCUUGUCUUGUAUAUCCCACAUUAGACAGAACUCUUAGAGUUGAUUCUCGUAGGAAAUGACGACUGCCUCUUUUUUUUUUUUCAGCCAUCUCACACAAAAUAACUUAUAGUCAUUUUUCCAUUUGAUGCUGAUCCCCUGGUGGCACAGGACUUAUGCACAUAGGGUUCAAUAAUGGAGGACAAUUUUCUUUGCACCCAAAAUUAGCGCUCCGUCGACAAAACCACACACCCUUCUAAGAAUUAAAACCCCAAGCUUUCCUUUUUCUCAUUUUCAUGUCCUGACACUCACAAAGGGCACACCUUCCACAUGCUUAAGGUAAUUUACCUCUACAUUUUCUUCAGCAGUUCUCUCUUUAAUACACAUUAUUAUUAUCAUCAUGUUGAAACAAAAUGAAGAAACUUAUUUAUAGAAUGUUAGACUGAAUUCAUUUAGUAACUAGCUAAUAUAAUUUUCCUUCCUUUACGCAGGCUACUUUAGCGAUUAAAGCAUACUGAGAGGUUUUUGGUCAAUUGACCUGAACUCGAGAACAAUUUUAAACAUGGAGCCAAAACCGAAAGAUCUCAAUGAUUUCCUUGAAUCAUCGGUGCUUUUAGAGGAAGCACAAUAUCAAGAAGGUUUCAGAGAUGGGUGUAACGACGGCUUGGUCUCAGGGAAGGAGGAGGGAAGAGAGGUGGGUUUAAAGAUGGGUUUCCAGGUAGGGGAGGAACUGGGUUUUUAUCGGGGCUGUGUCGAUGUAUUGAACUCAGUUAUCCAGAUUGAUCCGUCAGCAUUUUCAUCUCGGGUUAGAAAGAACAUCGAGCAAUUAGGGGCGUUAGUAAAUGGUUACCCGCUUUUAGAGCCAGAAAAUGAGCGAGUCCAAGAGAUCAUGGAGAAUAUGAGGCUAAAAUUCAGGGUUGUGUCUGCAAAUUUAGGAGUAAGAUUGGAGCAUGAAGGGUAUCGCUCGUCAUCUGGAAAGGAAGUGGAGGAUUUGUAGUACCUUGUAUCUACAGUUUGAUGGACUUGUUGCUAACCAUUCCGUAAACCUCUGCGAGAGGAGAUAUUAUUGCCCGGACAUGAUCCCUCGUGCACCACGACAUCUAUGAAGUGCAAGAAGCCGCUGCCUAUGGCAAUACAGCUGUAUGGAGGGUGAAGUGGUAUUGUGUUUGGUAAAGCUGUUUUAACUUUAAUGGAUUGGAUAAGAAUGAGGAACUUAUCUAAAUAGUGUGUAGCAAGACUUUUGCUAGUUGGCUAUCAUGUCAAAGGCUUUUUAAAGCAUUUUUUUAUGAUUGCUAAGCAUUAUUUUCUCGUAAUUUCCUAAUAUUCACAUAAUCAUAAUUUUCUACUGCCCUUGGAAAUUCGGUUGGCCACUUUAUUAUGGAACAGAGCUCUUGUGAGGUUUUAUAUUCAAAGUAGUGAUUCUUUUUAACUUUACCUCUUGUACUCUUGUUUUACUGGGAAAAGGGCAAGGAGCAGCCCUUUGUUGUGACAAUGAAAGCAAUUAGUUUCUGGAAAUUUGAUUUUACAGUUGCCUUCCAUAUUUUCCCUGGAAAUUGGCUAAACAGUUACUUUUGGCAUGUUUCAAUACCAAUUGCUGAUCUGUUAUUGAUUGUUACUAUAUUGAACACGGAUGUGUUCACUGAAAGAUUAAAAUGUUCUUCGCUUCCUUCUAACAAUGAAAUCAUGAUGUAAUGCUCGAGUGUUCUAUACAAAUCUGGGUUUUGUUAGCCCUUAUUAAACAGAGUUUCUGUCAAUGACCGUCCAAAUAGAAAUUGAAGAACCUGGGUUUGUAUCAAUCUCUUGACACAGUAGUAUCAAAUUAUGAAAGCAGUGAUUGGCUGUUAUAAAUUAGCUCUUUUCUUCGUUGCAAUUUAUGUUUCCGCAUAUUCUCUUAACUGUUACUGAAUGUUUGAAGCAGAGCUAUGUUGUAAUAGUCAUGCAGAUGUGAUUGCAUGUGUUCGUAUUCUUGAGUCUUGUUCUAUCUGUGCAGUUUAUCUUGUUUGUAGGUCUUUGGCAAAGAUUUAGCUCUCAUUACACGCACUCAUACUUGGCUUACAGAAGAUGAUUUGCGGUAGUUUACAUUGUUUGUGAUUUGCUGCUGCGGUUAUUGUUGCUGUUGUUUGUUUGUACAAAGUCUGUUUUUCUCUGAUUGUGCAGUGAUAGUAAUCUACAAAAAGUAGUCUUCAGUGGGUACCUCUAUCGACCUCAACGGUUCACGCACUAAAUCUAUAGAAGGUAUGUUUAAUGAUAGUAAAUAAACUGGAAACAAUCUACAGUUAUAUGCCACUAUGCUAUCAUGAUCCAACACUACUAUCUGUAAAAUAAUACAAUUUCUGAUUUAAUCUUACUAGGGACUGUGAAUAUAACCAUCCCAGGGACUGAAUAUAUCCGUCCCGCCUGUCGAAGCUAUACAGCUAUCUCCACGCUAAGCCGCCUGUGGAGAGCAAGUCUAAUUAGGACACAACUAAACCAACGCAACUGCACUAAGCUCGACUCCGGAGUGGCAUUCGUGGGCGCUAUCUAACCGAGUAUGCAAGCGUAUCUCUGUCGAGCUCAAUCAGACUCUUACAGGCUAUAGUCAAGUAAAUAGGGUCUAGCAACUAAACUAACGUGCUCUCGGCACAAUUUGAUGCAAAAACAGCAAUCUGGGUCCACCGUCAACCUCAACGGUAUCCGACAGUCCGAAAUAGCCUAAAGACUGCUAUAAAAAUAAGCUCGGCAUCUCAGCACGAGCGUAAAUGCAUUCUACACUAUCCUGGGUAUUUACCGCCUACAAACUGCGGCGAUACAAAUAAACUACGGCUUUUAGAGCUAUAUCUGGUAGUUUUAACAUAUGACGGUAUAGAAUCGCUAGUUUUCUCCUAAGUCAAUUCCAAGUCUAAUAUGUAUAAUUUAGCUAACAUCCUGAGCUUCAAUUUAGAUUUCAAAUCAUGCAUAUCAUAGAAUUAAGCUACUAAACAUGAUGAAACAAGCUAAACACAUGUUGUCCAACAUAGGCUUAGGAGGAAAUCCGUGUAUUUCGGUAACUUAACAUUCAACCCACCUCAACACGACUCAACGACAGCCCGCACUGCUGGAAACUCUGUCGAGGCCAACCAAGAUCACUCCGAACUAGCAACAAAACUAUUUUAAGGAUCUAAAUACCAAAAAUACCAAAAAUUACAUUAAAACCCUCAAAUUUCAGUACUUAAGCCAAUUCCUCAAAUUCUAAUAUCAAAACUCACCUAUCAAGGUUCAAAUCCACAAUUUAGGUGAGGAACACUCUCAAAAUCAAUAAUGAAAGGCGGAGUAAUCUUCCCUGGUCGAAAUUCUAGCUCCUUCAAAGAAUUGCUCCAAGAAAAUAAAAACAAACACAAUUUCAGCCCCAAAACCACCAGCAGUAGAAAAGAACGCGAAAUUGACUAAGCUAACCUCAAUCAAAAUCUGUCAAAAUGGGCUCCACGAAAUCUUUAGGAAGUCUUCUAACCAACAAACCAAAUUUCGUGGCAAUCGGAACUUUCUACGUCGCACACGAGCAAAAACGCAAAGGUCGCUGCUGGAAUUCUGCUAAAACUGUAGUCUACAAGGUGGAAUAUGCAAACUGGAGGAUUUGGAGGGGUUGAAAUGCAAAUGGAGGCUUCACUGUGAAGAAGAGGUGAAAAGGGUUCACAGGGGUCGCACUCCACCUAUUUAUAGGGAGGAGAAAUGGUUAGAUAAACCCUAGGAACAAAGAACACAAAUCUGCUGUUCUUGCAGAAACGGGCGAUUUCGGGCGCUCGAAACCCUAUUCUGGGCGUCCGAAACCUCUAGGCCAUACAAAGCUCCCGCUUCGGUUCCUCCGCCUGCGGUCUGCUGCACCUUUAACCUGGUCCGGCGGGACUCACCUACCACAUACACGUGUCAGCACAAUCGAUAUUCCCAAAGUGAACUUUCGGACCCUCUUCUAGGCGCCCGAAAUCUAGGAUCCGAAUUGGCUUUCAGUUUCAGUUAAUUUCAGCACUCGGUUCUGGACGACCCAAACCUAUUAUGGGUGCCCGAAACUGGCAAAACUGCAGUUUUGCUUACUUGAAUGCGCCAAGUCUAUUUCUGUAUCCAUUUCGUGCAGAAACGACUUCGACUCAGUCCGACACUCUUCAGAUGUGCCGACCAGUCACUAAUACUGUAGCCAAUUCUAUCCAAAACUUCGGAACACUUCAUAUUUAAUAGUAUUUGUUGUGAAUUCAAAUUUAAAUUGUUUAAUUAAAUUUAUUUUAAAUUCAAAAAAUUAUAAAUUGUAAUUAUAAUUGACCGUUAAGUUUACGAUUUGAAUUUUAGUUCAUUAUUCAAAUUUAGAUUCAAAUUUAUGUUGUAAAAUAAAGCUCUAUAUUCAAUUGUGUACUUAAAUUUAAAUUAUUUUUUGAAUUCUAAUUUUGGUUUCGUUGAAUAAACUAUUGAAAAUACUUUGAAUUAAAAAAAAUUAAGCUCUUUAAAUUCACAAUUAAAAAAUUAAGUUCAAAGUUAUAAAUUUACAAUUUGAAUAUUAAAUUUUAAUUUACAUUAUAAUUUUCAGGACAAUAAGCACUUUCAAACAGUCUUAUAAAUAAAAUUUUUUAGUUAACAACAUAUCUAAUAAAUUAAUAUUAAAUGAUCAAAAUAUAUUUUUAAAUCUUUAAUUUUAAUAUUUUAAUUUGGCAUAUUAUAUUAAAUUGUAAAUUUAAAUAUGAGCUUAAUUUUGAAUUCAGAUAACUUCGAAUGAUUCAACUUAAUGUAAAUGAAGUUUGAAUUAAAAAAAAAAACUUUAAUUUAGAUAUACAAUUUUGAUACACAAUUGAAGUUUAGAAUAGAAAUUCAAGUUUUAAUUAAAGAUUAAAGUUAUAGUUCAAAAUUUUAAAUUAAUAUAGUUAAUUAGUUUUAAUAAUUUUUCCUGACCUUUUUGUAUGAAGGGUAUUUUAGUAAGUUACAUUUAACCAUUAAUAAAUAUCUCUAAAACUUUUCAUAUACCCUCUUGAUAAUUAUAACUUUUAAUAUUAAAUUAAAUACAAAUAAAAAUUAAAUUUUUAUGACCAUUGGCAUGCUAUUUUAAUAAAUGUAUUUAUUCUAAUAUUAGAUGAAUUUCAGGUUGUUCAAAUCAAAGUAAAUAAAAUUUGAAUUAAAAAAUAAAACUUAAAUUUAGAUUAAUAAUUUUGAUGGACAAUUAAGAUUUAGAAUAGAAAUUCAAAAUUUAAUUCAAAGAUUAAAAUUAUUGCUCAAAUUUAAAAUUAUUAUACUUAAUUAAUUUUAAUAAAUUUUUCUCAUCCUUUUGUGUGAAUGGUAUUUUAGUAAGUACAUAUACCUAUUAAUAAAUGUUUCUAAAACUUUUCACAUACCAUCGUAAUAAAUAUAACUUUUAAUAUUAAAUUAAAUACUUAUAAAAAUUAAUUUUUUUUUAUUCUUAAUGAAAAUACGAGUUCAAAUAUUGAAUAAAUAUAUUACUAAAUUUAAAAUUUUAAUACUCUAAUUGAAAUUUUAUAUCCAAACCGUAAAUCUAAAUUAUAUUGUUUAAAUAAUUUGAUUUGUAAAAUAAAUAUACUUAAUAAAUUAUAAAUAUUUUAUUGUUUAAGUUAACUAGUAAUUGUAAAUGGCAGUUCCCCAGUACAUUAUGGUACUCAUUUAAAUCUGAUGUUGUUGUAUCUUUUCCUGUUUUGUUGCUUCUCAAAAAAGCCACCGCAAAUGGAUCGGUCCUAAGCAAGUCAAAAUCGGCUUUCACAUCGCCGAGGAUGUGAUUGGAUUGAUAAGAACGUCAUGAUCUAAACAGAAAAAGUUUAUGACAUUUCAAUACUCCCGCAUCUUAUAACAACGGGAUGAGUAGGUAACAUUCCAAAAAUUUCAUAUGUUAUGAAAAUGGAAUUGUAAUUAGAAAUAUAAGUGAUCAUGGACUCCAGUCUAGUAAUGAUAAUUCAGUUUUAAUAUUUUCGAUUGAUGGUUUGAGCUCAACGAGUUAUUAUUACUGGUGGAUCGGAUCGUUAAAAAUACCAUACUAAAAAGAUCUUUAUGAUGCAGUGUUGCUGUUGUAAUAAGCAAAGAUUUAAGGGCCCAUCCACAUAGGGCUUGACUAGAGAUGUCAAAGGAUCGAAUUCGGGACGGAUUUUUAAAAAUCCGAACCUGAACCCGAACCGGACUCAAAACUCGAGACCCGAACUCGAACUUGACGGAUUUUAAAAAUCCAUAUCCAAACCCGAACACAACUAAAAAUUUGAAACCCGAAUCCGAACCCGAAAAUUCGAACCCGGAACAAUUAAUUCUUUUUUCAAUAUUUCAAAAUAUAUUACAUUAAAUCUAAAUUUUUAAAAUACAAAUUCAAAUAUAACAUCAAAUUUUUAUAUAUAUAUUAUAUAUAAUGCAAAAUAAAUUCGGUUUCAGGUUCGGGUCGGGUACAGUCAAAAUUCAUAUCCGAAUCUAUAUCCAUCGGAUUUUUAUUUUUAAUAUCCAUAUUCAAAUCCAUAUCCGUUUAGCAUUGAAUAUAUCCGCUCUAUUCGGGUUCGGAUAAAAUUUCUAAUAUCUCUACCCAUCGACAUCCCUAGGCCUGACUACUAUAUUAGAUCGUAUCAAUCAGAUAUUAGCACGAUAAAAAAUUAUAACACAACUCCCAUGAUGUUGACACAGUUAAAUAUCCCCUUUUUUUGUUAAGCCAGUAAGUAAUUACACUAAUAGAACACAAAAAAAUUAAUAAAAUAUAAAUAUUAACAGCAAUUAGGCUAUUUUGGUAUUAAAAAAGUAAAUAAAUAUUUUGUAAAAAUAUAUUUUGUCAAUAGUUUACAUCAGCAUCGAGCAACGCACACGAUGUCGUACUAAACUAGGAAGUGUUUGACAAUGUCUUCUGUCACGGCACUCAAAUCCUUGAUAGUAAGCGUUGGUCGAUCACAUUUUUUUUGCUACCCAUUCAAAAGAAUCUAAGAAAUUCAUGAUGCUGAGUAUACUACAGAAAGCUUAUAUUCGCUGCGCCGGUAUUCCACUAUAUACAAAGAUGACUGAAACCAACAUUAAAGACUGCAUAGCAAUCUUCAUUUCGCGAAGACAAAGCCCAAAAUGUUAACCCGACAAGAGUCUUCAGCCAAGUAGACGCCUCAAUUGAUCGAACAACUGCGAUAAAUACAAACAUCGAGCGAAAACCACAACUGAGUCAAUUUAGAAGGAAUCGGUACAUAUUUCAUACCCCGAGAAGCUAAUGACUCCUAUCAUACGUUAAAAGGGUACCCAAAAAGCCACCCAACUACUGGAAUGUGAUAGAGAAAAGCCGUGAUCGAAGGCCCGAAGCCGCUGCUUGAGAGAAAACUCAUAUAAGGAAUAAGUUAAGAUGAUGGUAACCAACAAAGCAUGCAUGUUGAUGAAGAGAAUAAUAACCUGAAGAGAACUAUCGAACCAUAGAUUUCGAUUAUGAUGCCGAGUAUAGGCCAACGCACGAAUAUGAGAAAGAGUCCAGCAAGGAAAGGAAGAGAGCCCUGCGGCAAAAUAAGAAUCACAUCCAUAAAUCCAUUAUAAAAGGUAACUAGACGGUUUAACAGAAAAACGCAAAAAUUCUCUCUCACAAUAGCAAAUAAGCAGGAGUUUCUAUAUGGUUGAAUGGUAUAUAUGUUAUUUGUUUUUCGCUUUUAACACAAUAAUCCUUGGGCAUUUAGGGGGUACAAAGUAUAAAUGAAAUUAAGUGCAAUUAACUAUACAGAACAAUUUGUGGAAAAGUGUGCAAUUAACUAUACAAAGUACAAAUGAAAUUAAGUGCAUGCAUGCAAAAGGCUUCUUGGCCGUAUGAUGCACCAAAGAGGACAGUAAGACGAUGAUGAGCCGCUCAAAAAUAGCCCAAAAGAUCAAAUUUAAUGGCAACAGAUGGUGUUAUCUAAUAGUUACUUUCAUAAAGGGAAAAGAAAUAAAAGCGCAAAGAAGGAGAAAGACACAGGAAAUUUAUUAAUGUACAAAAUUAGUUUUUACUGCUGUUGAUGAUAUUGCACAAAGUAUUGAUUGAUAGUCGUAACUGCGAAAUAAUAAUGGGAGACAAAAUAGUGGUAUUCUCCAUUUAUUUUAAAGCUUUAUACUCCCAAGUGUACCUUAAGAUUUGCUUUCUUUGUGAAAAGCUGUAACAUAGAUCGCCACCCAAGCAAAAGGCCUACUCCUGACAAGAAAAAUAUCUAACACGAGAAAUAAUGGUUAUAGUUGAAUUCCCAAAAAAUGACUUCAUUACAAAAAAAAUACAAGAAGAAAAAAAAAAAGAAUAGGUGAGAAAAGGAUUCAAUAUCUUACAUUACCAAGAGCCAGCAAUCCCCUGUCAAAGAAGAGAAUAACAGCUAGGAACGAGAAUAGGAUUCCAAAUCCUAUUAAUCCUAUGCCAAUUUCUGCAUCAAAUACCAUGACCCUCACCAAAGUUUAGAGAUUCAACUUCAGAAACAAAUUAUUUGAACUUAAAAAUGUAAUAAGGAGCAAAAAUGCAAAAAUGAAAAAGAAAUUUUGGAAGGGAUUUGGGGACUCUCAAAAAACAAAAGAUAGAAAGAAGGAUAAUAGGAAGAUUAUCAUUUCUCUGAUGCUAUAGCAGUUUUUCUUCGAGUAUAAGCCCAUCACUGCGAGAGUUAGAAUUAUGAGAACAAACAGAGAUAGAUUUCAACAACAACAGUAAUUUCAUCUAUACUUAAUUUGAUUGAAAAUAUGCCUUUAGAAGGUAAAAAAGCCCAUAUUUACCACCAUAUAUUUUUUUUUGAGAACCAAGUGAGUUCUACCAAAUACUUGCAGCUGACAUCACUUCCUUUGUUACAUGCAUUUUGCCUAGUAUACUGAGCUGUAGAAACCAACUUCUGAAAAGGACUUCCUAGUUACUUUAUCUUUCAGAGUAUAGAAAUCACAUUAUCCUCAACUGUAAGCUAGCUCAAUAAUCAAAAGACCACCAUAAUUUACAGAACUUACACCAAAGAACAUUAAAAGUUAUAAAUAAGUUAUGAGAAAAAAGCUAUAGAAAAAAGGAAAGCGGUUCUUUCUAACAAAAUGCAUACGAAUGCUCACCAAAAACACAUAUUAUUAGAGCAUAAAAAAAAUUCGAUCCAUUAGUGGAAAUUUAGUUUAUCAAUCAAUAUAUAGGAAGACUAAAUAUGUUGAUAUCAAAUAAAUGGUUGAACCCAAUGGACACUCUAUAUUUAGUUCAUAUCAUCAAACAAAGUGUAUCAAUCCACGAAAGAAAAUAGUUCCAAGAGGGACAAAAGAAGCAAGUAUGGUCAGUAAGACGACACAUAUACAUAUAUCUGCGAAAUCAUCAAUUUACACAUAUAUCCACUCAGAAACGUAGAAUUUAUAGAAAUAGACUAACUUUAAGUUGCGAACUAACCCAAUUUAGCAGUUGAAGUUGGUCGUGUAUAAGAGUGGGAUUUUUAGAAGUACAACAGUAUAUAUGUAAGAAUUAAGUUUCUCAAUGAUAUAUGCAAAUAUUCAGAUUUUGUGGGGAUAUAUCUACAGAGGAAUAUAUGCAUUUAUAUCACACUUAUAAAAGUAGAGACCGAAACUCAUGUUACUUACAAAGUGGCAACGUAAAUGUGUGGAAGAAUAUAACUACAGGUUACAACAUCUCUGAGAGACAAAAAGCAAAAAAAAGCAAGCUAACAAGCUUUACAUGACGCACUUGAAUGGAAACAAGUAUGCAUGAUGAAAAAGAAUUGCAAAGUCGAGCAGAUGGAUUUUGUCAGAGCUUUCUUAGGAAAUAAUAGAAAAGGACAAAACAGCAAAAUUCUUUAGAGAAUGAGCUAAUUUAAAUUCAGGAUAUGUUAAACUAAGCAAUAUGUAGAAUUUCUUAAACCGAGCAAAGUAAGCAAAGAACUUCACUUUUGAUUUCACUAAUCUCGUAGGACAUCGUGCAGCCAACUGUAUCGAGCUUAUAAAAACAGACCUGGCUACUUCACCUAUAUGGUCCUGCAAUAGUGUUCAAGCAUGAAGGUUCGAUAAAUUUAGGUGAAAUCAAUGAGAAAGAAUAAGAGGAAAGCAGUGAUUCUAGGUGAGAAACAAUAAUUUUGCAUUAGCCUCGUAUAUAAGUUGUGAUUCAUAACAAUGUUAUGAAAAGACUAUAUGCUUACGAUACAGGAAAACAGCCAGCGAAACUCCAGCCUAAAACUAUAUGAGAAGAUUGUAACGCAAAAGGCACAAAAUGGGAGCCGCGUUUGGCAGCUGAGCAAAAUUCAGCACAAAACUAUGACCAACAAAAUACACUAUAUGAGAUUCCAAAUGGUUAUUAGAUUAAGCUCAUGCUCUACAUGUCAUGCAACACGAUACCUGCGAUAACCCAAAAAAGAAAGGCACGAUAAAUGCCACUUCAACCUCUAUGCAUCUGUCUAUAAUUUUGAUAUCCUGAACCAUAAUUUUAACUAAAAAACACAACAAACUAUCAGGACAAACAACUAGGAGGAAGAUUCUUAUCAGGUAUCGGUUCCUGCAUUCUCCUAAUUCAGAUCUUUUUGCUUAAAAUCUUAGCUGGGCAAUAGCUUACAAAGAGAUUUAUUGCGAAGACGCGGAGCUUGAUUUUUGCUACUUGAAAGGUCCUGAUACCCAUGAUUCGGCAGGAUACCAUAUCUCAUCUACGAAAACGGUUUAUCUUAUUCCGAAAAAUGACACGAAGGUCGAAUGCGGUAUCCAUUCUAGGCAUCUGAUCAACACUUCAUCUACCAAAUACUACAUAGUAUUUUUUAACCAAAUCAAACAGAUUUACCAAAUAAGAUGGUCGUGCAUCCAAACAGGGCCUAAAUUGUGCAACAGAAGAUGCCAAAUUGCUCUCCCAAUUCUUCCACAAAUCCUCGAAGCUGAUAAUACUACCAGUUCAAAUCAAUGUUCGACUUUUGAAUCUACAGCACCCAAGAAAAAACAAGAUCUCAACUUUUGAGGACUAGGGCUUCUUUCUGCAUCAGAAUCACCAGCGCCAAAUCGCAGCUUCUGCUUUCGAGGCUCAAAAUCUAAUCGAAGAUCUAAGAUCGCGUAGGGAUCAAGAACAGUUCCCCAAAUCGUUUGCUACAUUCGGUUUGUUGUGAUUAUGGUAAAAACCGUACCUUUCCGCGGCGGCGAGAAGCGCUUUUGGAAUGGGGUUUUCGCCACUGCGGAGGAGUUUUUGCUUCAUCGUAUCUUCAUUCUCCUCUGCUUCUUCUGCUUUUUUGGGAAGGCUCGGCUCGGCUCGGCUGGGAUCGGCCCGGCCGUGACGGAUCGGAUCCUGAUAGUAGGGGUGGAAAUGAGCCGAGCUCGAGCGAGCUUACCUCGGCUCAAAUUCGGCUUGAAAUUAAUUUCGAGCCUAAAUUUAAGCUCAAGCUUGAAUUGAAAUUAAUUCGAGCCGAGCUCGAGCGAGCCUAAUUUCGAGUCGAGUCGAGUGAGCUCGAGCCCUAAACAAGCCGCUUGAAAUUCUCAACAUCAUAUGAUUAAUAGUUUAAUUUGUAUAGAACAUUAUCUAUAAUUUAAUACAAACAUAUGUGUAAUAAUUCAAAGUACAAAAUAAUUAUAUGAAAUAUAGUAUUAUAAUAUGAAGAAAAAUAAUUUAUGAGUUGAUAUCUAAUUUUUUCAGCCCCACAUGUCUUCUCUUCCGCCUUCAAUCUCCAUAUUAUUCAUUUUCAUUUAUGCGGUCAAAAAUAAAUAAAUUAUAUAGAUAAAUAUUGGAUUAAACUACCCAAUCAUCUAUAACUAAAAUUAAAAUUUUAUAUGAAUAAUAAUUUUUUAUUUUAAAAAUAUUCUGUAUAUUUUCUCAAGCAUAUAAUUAAUAGUAAGGUAGGCAACAGCGGGUAUAUGCUGUUACUUGGUAACUUGGAGGGCUUCCGGCUUGGCCACUUAGGAUGAGAGACAGAAAAAGAGAAAGAGAAACAUAUUAAAAAUUUAGAGCUCUGUGAAAGAAAAAAAAAAAAGAAAAAGAAAAAUGUAUAAAUUUAGUAAAAUUUUGCUCUUUUAUUUGUCUAUUGGGUUUGUUUUUAUGGGCCAACAAUAUUGGCNUUUUAAUUAUAUAUUAAUUAUAUAUAGGCUGAGUGAAUAAUCUCAAUUUAGUAAAAUUUUGCUCUUGUAUUUGUCUAUUGGGUUUAUUUUUAUGGGCCAACAAUAUUGGCCCAAUUUUACUAUAUUGAGAUUAUUCACUCAGCCUAUAUAUAAUUAAUAUAUAAUUAAAAUAUAUUAUAUUUAUAUAUAUUUUUAAUAUAUAUAUAUAGUGUAGAACUAUUAUGCUAUCGAAAAUAUAGAGGAUUUGAUGUUUUCGAAUUUUUGACCCUUUGAUUAAGAAUUGUUUGGUUGGGAUGACUGCGGUCCCCCUAGGAUUAAAUAAUAUUCUUAGGAUUGAGUGGUCCCUACAAGAUAAUAAUAGUAUUAAUCCAAAGAUAAGAAAUGAUUAAAGGGGUUGAUCUAAGAAUCAAAAAAUCGAAAGCAUCAUAUCCUCUAUACUUUCGAUAGCAUAGUAGCUCUACUAUAUAUAUAUGUAUUCGAGCUUUUCGAGCUUUUCGAGCUUUUCGAGCCUAAUUCGAGCGAGCCGAGUAAUACUCAAGCUCGGCUUGAAAUGAAUUCCAAGUCUUUUUUUUUGUUCAAGCUCGGCUCAUUUAAUUUCGAGUCAAGCUCGAGCGAGCCAAAUAUCGAGUCGAACACGAGUCGAACGCGAGCCGGCUCGCUCAUUUGCCAGCCAUACCUGAUAGAACCGAAAAUGGAGGGAUGCAAAUGGAUCGGAGUUGGUGGAGCUCCUGCUCCGAUCCGCCCUUGAUGGGGCAGUAAAGUAGAGGUAAAAAAUUAAAAAAAAGGGUAAACUUCAUGUACCAUAACUGUAGUUUCGCACUUUCUCACUUUAGUACCUUUUGAUUUAAAGUGUACUAAUUUAGUAUCAUAUGGUUUCAUUUUUCUCUUUUCGUCAGCCCUUCCGUUAACUUUUCGAUAAAAUCAUAGACAAAAAACUUCAGAUACCUCACCUGUAGUUUAUCGAAUAUUUACUUUAUUACCUUUUAGUUUUAAUUUUGUCAUUGAUUUAACGAAAAAAAUUAGCGAAAGAGGAUAAUAAAAAGAGAAAAAUAAAACCACAAGGUACGAAAAUGAUACACUUUAAACCACGGGUACUAAAGUGAGCAAAUGCGAAACCACAAUAGUGGUAUUUAAAGUUUUUUUGAAAAAAAAUUACUUGUUCCGAAUCUGUCCUAAUCAGUCAAAAAAAUAGAGUAGAAAAAUGAGAGUCUGCCUUUGCUUUUUUAUUGAUCUGUCCCGAUUUGCUAAAAUCUUAAACCGUUCCAAAUGGAGUGGUGACUUCAGAGAGAAAAUAUAAAAAUAAAAAUUAAUCCACUUCUUUUUUGAGAGAUCCACCAAGAAAAUAGGGCGAGAUGUGGGAAGCCUUCGAACCCCAAAAUCUACGAAGUUUGCAUCCCUAAAUCAAAAGUUUUUUUUUGUGAUAAUUAUUUAUAUACUGUAAUAUACUGAAAUCUCGGUAGGUUAUAUCGAACUUUAGUCAAAUUGACCAAAGCGUGGCGAGAGAGAUGAUUGGAUAAAGUCCAUACGACACUCCAACAGUGUUGGAGGGGUUAAAAUUGAAUUCCGAAUGCGAUUGAUAGGUUUUAGCAUUGCUCAACGUGAAAUAAAGUUUAGGCAGUGCUAAAAUUACAGUCUGGGGCACUGCGUACCGGUACUAGAGGAGGCGUAUCGGUACCAGGCAGCGAGGCAGAGAAGGCCAGCUCUCGGGUUUGGGAGAGCUGGGUGGCGUACCGGUACUGAGGGACGCGUACCGGUACUGAGGGACGCGUACCGGUACCAGGUGAAUACCCAAGAGGCCAGCUCUCGGGUUUGGCUAUUGCGAAGCAGCGUACUAGUACCAAAUAAGGCGUACUGGUACUAGGGCACUUACGUACCGGUACUCGAGCUUGUGUACCGGUACUCGGCGGUCUCCGCAGAGUUUGCUGCUCUCGGGUUUGGUUGGUCACCUAGGGGUAUCGGUACUCAAACCCGCGUACCGGUACCCAGUGCUGCGAACAGCAGAUUUUGAUUUGCUGCAAAUAUAAAAUAUUGGAGGGCUUAAAUGCAAUUGUGACAGCUUAUAUAAACCCCACACCCCUUCCUCUCUUGUUCACAGCCAAAAGAACACCCCAACUCCAUUUUUCUUCCUCUCUCUCUAGGAGCUCUCCCCCAAGAUGGAUUGAAGGAGAUUGGAGGAGAUUUGAAGGAGAAUUUGAGGCUUUGGAGGAUCUAGAGCUCACCUACAAGGAGAAGCUUAGAGAGCUUUUGGGCUAAGGUAAGGUUUCUUGCAAGAUCCAUGUUAGGGUUUGGUUUUAUACCCUAAAACACUUGGUGUUGAGCUUCUUGCAAGAAUAGAAACCUAGAUAACCCUAGAAAUCUCAUGAUGAACACAUGGUGUUCAUGGCAUGAAACCCUAGGGUUGGAAUUUGGAUUUUUGUGGAAUUAGGGUUUAUGGUUAAAUUGACCAUUUGUAAACCUAAUUGAAGGUAAAACCGACGCGUUGGGAGACUCGGUUCGAAGAUCCGACGAGUUUACGCAAAGAAAUUGAGGAAAAAGCCUAUUUUGGCUUUGUUUUGCCGCAGUCGAGAGAAUAGACAACCAAAAAUCAUGAAAAUUGAAUUGUAGCACCUUAGCAACCCUACGAGGUGGGUGGUGCUAUCCGAAAUCCUUGAAUUUUCUUUUAUAUCUAAAGUGUCACUUCUUGAGCAUAUGUAUGUAUAUGAACCUCAUGCAUUGUAGGGUGAGUUGAGAACAUGUUACUUGCAUAUUGUGAGUACAAGAUGCAUAUGUAAUGUUAGUGAACUAUAUAUUGAGAACUCAUGGACCCUAUGAAUGUGUGAAUAUUGACAAGAACUUAGUGAAGUAAAGAACAUAGUAACAUUAUAACAUGUGAGACACAUAGUGUGUUGUGGCAUUAAUGAGUCUAAUGAAUGCUAGAGUUGAACACAUAGAGUGUGGCAUUCAUGAGUAUAAAGAAUGCUAGAGCAUGAAACACUAGUGUGUGCCAUCAAUGAGAACAAUAAAUGCAAGAAAAUGGAAUAUUUGACAUUAUGGCAUAUGUGACAUAACAUCCUCAUAGUUGAGGCAUCUUUAUAGUUAAGGAUUGGCUAAAUUAUAGAAAACCCCCUGUCAAAACCCGCUUUUUCACUUUUCCCCUCUGUCAUUUAAAAACCUACACUUUGCCACCUUGUAAAAUAAAAAAUGUGUACUUCACUUCCUACCGUUAGGGUUCCGUUAUAAUAUUUUUUUAUACCAAAAAUGCCCCUUCGCCCCUCUUCCCUGUUACUUCGAUAGCUUCCGGGACGGCGCCCUCGCCGGCCUCGCCCUCCUCUACGAGCUCAACCUCCUUUUCGACCGCCCCCUCGACGUCAUCUUCCUCAACUCCAACCGCCUCCGCCCCCGCCGCCCCAUCCCCGCCAACCUCGGCGACUCCCCGGCCUCCAUCGUCAUCCUCGCCCAUAACAAACUCGACGGCUGCAUCCUACCCUCCAUCGGCUGCAUGGCCGACACCCUCAACGAGGUCGUCCUCCUCGACAACGGCCUCGCCGCCUGCGUCCCGCCCAAGGUCAGCCUCCUCCGCCGCGGAUGAGGAGAAUGAGGAAAAUGACGAAAAUGGUGAAGGGCAAAAUGAUCAUUUUGUCACACCGUACCCCCCUGUGAACAUUUUUUAUUUUAUAAGGGGGCAAAGUGUAGGUUUUUAAAUGACAGGGGAGGAAAGUGAAAAAGCGGGUUUUGACGAGGCGGUUUUUCGUAAUUUAGCCUUAAGGAUUUGAGUGAGCAUAACAUUUUUAUAGUUAAGGAUCAGAUUGAAAUUGACAUCCUUAUAGCUAAGGAUUGGACCAUACUCACCUGUAAGUCUUGGCUUGAGGGCGGUCGCACUUCCUCGAGCGAUGUGCUCCGGAGUAGUCAUUACUGGGUUGUAGUAGUCUCCCCAGAGGAUGGUCCCGUCGGGUUGUAGGAGUCUCCCCGAUAUUAGGAAUUUGAGUUGGUGAGUCGUUUUAGGCGAAACCUACGGGUUAUCGUGCUUAUUUUGAGGGAGAGUUUAUCUAUUUCUUUAUUAUCUUUUCAAAUUAUUUGUCAUCAUCAAAAAGGAGGAGAUUGUUGGAUUUUAUCCAAUAAUAAAUUUUGAUGAUAACAAACAAAUUUUGGAUUUAAUUUGUUACUUAGCAAUUUCAUGUUGUAAUUGAAUUUAAAGCAGCUCAAGUUGAACCGGAUUUGAUCAAAGGUAACCAUUCAAUCAAUUUAUUCAAAUUGGCCCGGACAAGAUCAAAUUGUACCAAAUUGAAUACAAAUGCCACAACAAUAAUUUGGAGGACUUCUUUAUAAUUUAUCGGAUUUGAGCCGGUCAACCUAGUCAAGUUGACCAAUUCACCUUUUGGGUUUGAUUUGUGCUUAAUGUCAAAUUAGCCAUUAUUUUAAUAUGGUAUAAAAGUGAUUUUAUGUAUGGUAUAAAUUCAAACAUGAUUUUAUUAUGGCGUGAAUUUUAUAUGCAUUGUAUUAUUUCAAAAGCUUUUACAAAUGUGGAAUGAAUUCAAAAAGAUAUUUCAUUUGUAGUAUUAAUUUAAAAGGAUUUUACGAAUUUGAUAUGAUUUCAAAUGAGCUUUUGAAUAUAGUAAUAUUUCAAAUGAGUUUUGCAAAUGUGGUAUGAAUUUGAAUUUAUUUUGGAAUUAAUUCAAAUGCAUUUGCAAAUAUGGUUAAAAUUCAAAUUAAAAUCAAUUAUGAUUUAAUCCUGCUUUUGUUCCAUUUUUGAAAUGAUGGCUAGUGUAUUUAAAAGGAGGCUUGGAUGUUGUUUGUGAUACAAUUUUAGAAAAAUUCUGUAAGUCUUAAUUGUUCAUUGAUUUGUAAUUGUGAGUUUCAUUGAGAGGUUGUAAAAGAAGUUUUGUGUGAUUGUAAGUGGCUUUGGUCUUGCCCUGUUCAAAAGGCCAAGUGAUAGUAAAAUCGGUACAUCGAGGAGAAGAAGGACUGAACUGGAGUAGGCAGAAAGGCCGAACCAGGAUAAAUCAUAUGUGUUAUUUGAGUUUGAUUUUAUUCUUUUAUUUGGUUGUACAAUUUUUAUCUUGAUUUAAUUUUACUUGAGUUUUUAGUUCUCAACUAAUUCACCACCCCUUCUUAGUUGUCAUUUGAUCCUUCAUUUGGUAUCAGAGAGCAGGUCUCACAUUUGCAGACUAACUGUCUCGUGAGAUGGCAACUUUUCACGCUACUAUUGAAGGUCAAUCCAUCGCUCGUCCUCCUUUCUUUACUGGGAGUAACUACACCUAUUGGAAGGUGCAGAUGCAAAUAUUUCUACAAUCCCUAGAUUUUGAUCUUUGGGACAUUGUAGAAAAUGAUUACACCAAGCCUACCACGGCAACCAGCAUGUGGAAGGCAGAGGACAAAGGUAAAUUUAAUUUGAAUUCUAAAGCGAUGAACGCUCUUCAUUGUGCUCUUGACUCAAACGAAUUCAAUCGAAUUUCUACAUGCAAAACUGCAAAAAAAAAAAUUUGGGAUAAAUUAACCGUUGUUCACGAGGGGACAAAUCAAGUAAAAGAGUCUAAGAUAAAUAUAUAUGCUUACUCGUGAUUAUGAAAUGUUUUGUGUGCAACCAAAUGAAAGCAUUACUAAUACGUAUACUAGAUUUACCAAUAUUAUUAAUAGUCUAAAGGCUUUGGAAAAGGCUUUUUCUGAUGCAGAUCUUGUUAGAAAAAUACUCAGAAGUUUUCCUCAAAAUGGACCUUGGGAACCAAAGUUGGCGGCCAUUCAAGAAGCGCGCGACCUCAACAAAUUUUCAUUGGAGGAACUCAUAGGGUUCCUUAUGACUUAUGAGUUACAAUUAAAAACGGAGCCUUCUACUUCCAUCAUCCACACUGAAACGAAAAAUAUAGCUCUCAACUCUAGUGAGGGAGAUGGAAGCAACUCCGACAAUACUACUGACGACGAGAUCUCACUUCUUAUCAAAAAAUUAAAGAAGAUCAUACAAAGAAAACACAGAGCUAAAUGGUCCGACAAAGGUAAUGGUAGAUCACACUUUUUUAAAAAGGAUGUUAAAUGCUAUAAUUGUAAUAAAAUAGGGCAUAUAAGUUAUGAUUGCCAAAAUCAAAGUAAGUCUCCCCGAAAGGAGAAAAAUAAGAAUAAAGUCUUCUCCGCUGCUUGGAGUCAUGAUAGCGAUUCCGAUAAGAAGGAAUCAACCAAGGAGGUCUCUAACUUAAGCCUCACCUAUGACGAUACACUUUCGAAUUGCUACUUCAUGACAAACAUAGAAGAUGAGGUAAAUGAUUUAACUUACGAUGAACUUUUAGAAACUUUUUAUGAUCAUUAUGAUGAUCUCCAAAAAUUUGGUCCCAAAUAUGUUUCUUUAAAAAAAGAAAAUACAUCUUUAAUCUCCAAUUUAAAUUUAUUAAAAUCUGAAAUAAAAGUUUAAAAACUGAGUUAAAUUUAUUAAAGAAGCAACUUGAGACCAAAAGUGAUGGCGAAAAUUAUAAAGGUACUGGUUUAUUAAAAACUGAAAAUGAAUCAAUAUCUAAAGAAGGACUUGAACGAUUCAAGAAACAUUUUAGAAAGAUUCAUUGCUAGCACAAAAGUUCUAAACAUGAUGUUGGGUAAUCAAAGAUCCUAUUUGGAUAAGACCGGACUUGGAUAUCAACACAAGUUUAGUCAAAAGAAAAAUAUUUUUAAACCAUUUAUAAAAUAUGUAAAUGGCAACAAAAAUGUGUUAUGCACCUAUUGUAACAAAAUAGGGCAUCAUGUAACCCAAUGUCAAUUUAAAAAUAAGUUUAAAUUUAGACAACUUUGGGUGGUGAAAGGUUCUAACACAAGUGGACCCAAAUCAACUUGGGUACCCUUCUUAACUUAAUUUUUUUGUGGUAUAAGAUCUUCUGUGUAAUUUUUUUUAUCCUCCUUUUUUUAAAAAAUUAAAUUUUUUGAUGAUAACAAAAGGGGGAGAAGAAAAGGUUACCUCAAAAUUAUUUUAAAAGUUUCGUUUAUCUCAAUUGAAAGAUUUUUUUUUUUAUCGUGCUUAUUUUGAGGGGGAGUUUAUCUAUUUCUUUAUUAUCUUUUCAAAUUGUUUGUCAUCAUCAAAAAGGGGGAGAUUGUUGGAUUUUAUCCAAUAAUAAAUUUUGAUGAUAACAAAUAAAUUUUGGAUUUAAUUUGUUACUUAGCAAUUUCAUGUUGUAAUUGAAUUUAAAGCGGCUCAAGCUGAACCGGAUUUGAUCAAAGGUAACCAUUCAAUCAAUUUAUUCAAAUUGGCCCGGACAAGAUCAAAUUGUACCAAAUUGGAUACAAGUGCCACAACAAAAAUUUGGAGGACUUCUUUACAAUUUAUCGGAUUUGAGCCGGUCAACCUAGUCAAGUUGACCAAUUCACCUUUUGGGUUUGAUUUGUGCUUAAUGUCAAAUUAGCCAUUAUUUUAAUAUGGUAUAAAAGUGAUUUUAUGUAUGGUAUAAAUUCAAACAUGAUUUUAUUAUGGCGUGAAUUUUAUAUGCAUUGUAUUAUUUCAAAAGCUUUUACAAAUGUGGAAUGAAUUCAAAAAGAUAUUUCAUUUGUAGUAUUAAUUUAAAAGGAUUUUACGAAUUUGAUAUGAUUUCAAAUGAGCUUUUGAAUAUAGUAAUAUUUCAAAUGAGUUUUGCAAAUGUGGUAUGAAUUUGAAUUUAUUUUGGAAUUAAUUCAAAUGCAUUUGCAAAUAUGGUUAAAAUUCAAAUUAAAAUCAAUUAUGAUUUAAUCCUGCUUUUGUUCCAUUUUUGAAAUGAUGGCUAGUGUAUUUAAAAGGGGGCUUGGAUGUUGUUUGUGAUACAACUUCAGAAAAAUUCUCUAAGUCUUAAUUGUUCAUUGGUUUGUAAUUGUGAGUUUUAUUGAGAGGUUGUAAAAAAAGUUUUGUGUGAUUGUAAGCGGCUUUGGUCUUGCCUUGUUCAAAAGGCCAAGUGAUAGUGAAAUCGGUACAUCGAGGAGAAGAAGGACCGAACUGGAGUAGACAGAAAGGCCGAACCAGGAUAAAUCAUCUGUGUUAUCUGAGUUUGAUUUUAUUCUUUUAUUUGGUUGUGCAAUUUUUAUCUUGAUUUAAUUUUACUUGAGUUUUUAGUUCUCAACUAAUUCACCACCCCCUCUUAGUUGCUAUUUGAUCCUUCAUCUUGCAUGCAUCAUGAGCAUUCUUAUUGUUGUAUUUCGUUCAGGCAUAUUAGCUGCAUUUGUAUAGCUUGGUUACUUAUCUAUCUGCUUAUUUCUUCUAUUAUGCCGAUUUAGACCUAAUGAGAAAGUCGGCGAGGUCGGCGGUCGAACCCACUGGAAACUUUGUUGUAGUUCUCAUCCCACUAUUUUCUACAGGUCUAAGUCCGAGAGAGGCGGUCGAGGACCGUGGCACGGGUAUCACAUCCUAGCUAGUGACUACCCGUGUAUAGUUUCAUACCUAUUUAGUUUCAUAUGAGUUAUAUCAUCUUUUUUAUUUAAUGAUGCAAAUUGUAUAAAUGAAGCAGCCUAUAUUUUGGAUGACAUAUGAUGUAUAAGAAAUGAAUGAAAUAAUGUAAAUGUUGAAUGCAUGUAUGUGAUUAAAAGUUAAUCAUAGUACUUGUAUGGAUGUUUAGUUUAGAAUCUUUCACUUUUGGCUAUUGCUUGCCCUCGUGCAAGCCAUAUAUGUUUAUAUUUCCGCUUGUGCAAACUAUAUAUAUAUAUUUGAUGUCUUGUUAAGCCUUGGGUGGACAGAGAAGAUGCUGUCCGUUCGGCGUCUGUUCGACGUACCGGAACCGACCAAAUAGACGGGCUCGGGCCUAACAUAUACUCUACAAAACUUUAUAUAUAUAUAUAUAUAUAUAUAUAUAUAUAUAUAUAUAUAUAUAUAUAUAUAUAUAUAUUUUCAUCCAAUAUGAGACUAUUUGGNNNNNNNNNNNNNNNNNNNNNNNNNNNNNNNNNNNNNNNNNNNNNNNNNNNNNNNNNNNNNNNNNNNNNNNNNNNNNNNNNNNNNNNNNNNNNNNNNNNNNNNNNNNNNNNNNNNNNNNNNNNNNNNNNNNNNNNNNNNNNNNNNNNNNNNNNNNNNNNNNNNNNNNNNNNNNNNNNNNNNNNNNNNNNNNNNNNNNNNNNNNNNNNNNNNNNNNNNNNNNNNNNNNNNNNNNNNNNNNNNNNNNNNNNNNNNNNNNNNNNNNNNNNNNNNNNNNNNNNNNNNNNNNNNNNNNNNNNNNNNNNNNNNNNNNNNNNNNNNNNNNNNNNNNNNNNNNNNNNNNNNNNNNNNNNNNNNNNNNNNNNNNNNNNNNNNNNNNNNNNNNNNNNNNNNNNNNNNNNNNNNNNNNNNNNNNNNNNNNNNNNNNNNNNNNNNNNNNNNNNNNNNNNNNNNNNNNNNNNNNNNNNNNNNNNNNNNNNNNNNNNNNNNNNNNNNNNNNNNNNNNNNNNNNNNNNNNNNNNNNNNNNNNNNNNNNNNNNNNNNNNNNNNNNNNNNNNNNNNNNNNNNNNNNNNNNNNNNNNNNNNNNNNNNNNNNNNNNNNNNNNNNNNNNNNNNNNNNNNNNNNNNNNNNNNNNNNNNNNNNNNNNNNNNNNNNNNNNNNNNNNNNNNNNNNNNNNNNNNNNNNNNNNNNNNNNNNNNNNNNNNNNNNNNNNNNNNNNNNNNNNNNNNNNNNNNNNNNNNNNNNNNNNNNNNNNNNNNNNNNNNNNNNNNNNNNNNNNNNNNNNNNNNNNNNNNNNNNNNNNNNNNNNNNNNNNNNNNNNNNNNNNNNNNNNNNNNNNNNNNNNNNNNNNNNNNNNNNNNNNNNNNNNNNNNNNNNNNNNNNNNNNNNNNNNNNNNNNNNNNNNNNNNNNNNNNNNNNNNNNNNNNNNNNNNNNNNNNNNNNNNNNNNNNNNNNNNNNNNNNNNNNNNNNNNNNNNNNNNNNNNNNNNNNNNNNNNNNNNNNNNNNNNNNNNNNNNNNNNNNNNNNNNNNNNNNNNNNNNNNNNNNNNNNNNNNNNNNNNNNNNNNUAAUUUGGAUACUUCUACACCGUUGAACUUAAAAACAUGCCACAUCGGCCAUUAAAAUAGUCAUUUUUGAGACCUUUUGAUCGCUUGGUAAAUGAUGUCAAAAAAUUAUAAAAUUUGGUUUCUAAAUAGUUCCAAUAGGAUAGAUUAUACUUAACGGAGCUGACCGUCGAAUCGGAUUUCCUAUCAUCGAAAACAACUUACAAGCACGGAGGUCUCCUUACUUUCGAAAGUACAAAAGACUUACUCUAUAUAUAUAUAUAUAUAUAUAUAUAUAUAUAUAUAUAUAUAUAGUUGUGCUUCUAUACUAUCAAUAGUAUAUAAGCUCCUAUAGUAUUAUUUUAAACCGUUGGAUCCUCUUUGAGAUCUGUGCACAAGUUUGGGGGAUUAAAGUGGGAUGAAGUGGGAUGCAACUAGUAACACUGUUAACAGAGAAAUAAUUGAGGAGAGAGAAUCCCAUUUCAAACCCCUCUCUCUCUCUCUCUUCGUUAACAUAGAAAUUUAAGAGGAGAGAGAAUCUCACUUCAAACCCCCUCUCUCUCUCUCUCUCUCUUUCUCUCUCUCUCCCAUCUCUCUCUCUUUUUACAAUUAUAGAAAAUGAUAAUUUCUCUGAGAUCUAUACUAUAGUAUCAAUAGUGUAUAAGCUCCUAUACUGUGGUGUUUUAAACCGUUGGAUCCUCUUUGAGAUCUGUGCACAGGUUUGGGGGAUUAAAGUGGGAUGAAGUGGGAUGCAAUUAGUAACACCGUUAACAGAGAAAUAAUUGAGGAGAGAAAAUCCCACUUCAAACUCCUCUCUCUCUCUCUCCGUUAACAUAGAUAUUAAAGAGGAGAGAGAAUCCCACUUUAAACCCCUCUCUCUCUUUCUCUUUCUCUCUCUCCCCCAUCUCUCUCUCUUUUUACAAUUAUAGAAAAUGACAAUUUUAUUUUAUUUUUUCUAAUAUUUUUUUGUUGAAUUAAAAUUUUAUAUUUUAAUAUAAUUUUUUGAAAAUUUAUAAAAAAAAAGGAGUCAUGAGCUAUGUAUCUUUUAAGAAAAUACAAGAUACUUGUAUUUUCUUUCUUUUUUCUACGUAUUUUUUUAAAUUUUUUUAUUAAAAAAAAUUCUACAAGAUUGGUACUAAAUAAAUUUUUAUUUUUUCUGCAAAAAAUAUUUAAAUACAAGAUUCUUGGUACAAUAUUUUUUUUACUGAUUUUUAUAAAAAAAUAAAAAUUAUGUAAAAAAAAAAAGAUUUGUGCUAAAAUUUUUAUUUUUUUUCUGAUUUUUUAAAAAAAUUUAUCAAUGUCUGUAUGUAUCCUUAAAAAUAAAUUUAUUAUAACUAAAGAGAGAGAGAGAGAGAGGGGUUUGAAGUAGGAUUCUCUUUCCUCUUUAAUUUCUCUGUUAACGAAAGAGAGAGAGAGAGAGAGAGAGAGGGCGUUGAAGUGGGAUUCUCUCUCCUCAAUUAUUUCUCUGUUAAUGGUGUUACUAACUUCAUCCCACUUUAAUCCCCCAAAACCUGUGCACGGAUCUUAAAGAGGAUCCAACGGUUUAAAACACUAUAGUAUAGGAGUUUCUAUACUAUUGAUAGUAUAGAAGCACAACUCUCUCUCUCUCUCUCUCUCUCUCUUCGUAUAUAUAUAUAUAUAUAUAUAUAUAUAUAUAUAUGUAUAGUAGGGCUACUGUGCUAUUAGGAGCACAACAGCCCUUGUGCUUCUAACUUUCUAACCACCCAUCAAGUUUGGUUAGAAUGAGAGAGGGAAUAGAUAUUUGAGAGAAAUUGGUUAGAAUGAGAGAGGAUCCACUAGUUUUGGACUUUUGCAAAAGUGGGCCACCUUUUUCGUUUUUGCCGAUUCGGUCCGAUUUUUUAGCAAAAUGACCAAAAUAUUUCUAUACCUUUUUCUCUCUCCGUUUUUUUUUGCUCUCGUUCUUUUUUUCUUUCUCUUCCCAGAGAGCGACGGAGGCAGAGGCGGAGGCGGAGGCGGCCCGCUUCUGUUUUUCGGCACGUCCUUACCCUCGCCCGCGCACCCCCGCCUUCCUCGCCUCCGACAUCGAGACCGUGCUGUGAUUUUUUUUCCCCUCUCCGACCCUCCUCCACCACCUCCGACGACGACGCCUCUCCGCCGACAUCGGCGCCGCGGAGGUCGUUGCGGCGCUGCAGCCUUGGAGCGGGGGAUCUUUAGCUGCGUCGUCGCCGGCGCCGUGGCCGUUGGCGGAGAGGCGUGACAAAAAAAAAUUAUAGAAGAGUAAGAAGAAAAAAAUAAAGGCAAAAAUUAUAUAAGAAAGAAGAUGAUGAUGAAAUUGCAUUGUUAAAAUAAGAUUACACUGUUUUAAAACAGAUUUGCACUGUUUUAAUGAAAAUUGCACUAUUUGAUAUAAAAAUUACACUUUUUUGGAAUGAAUUUUACUCUCUUAAGACUAAUGUUGCACUAUUUAGAAAAAUUUUGCACCAUUUCUUUUCUUUUUCUUUUUCUCUUUCUCUUCUUCUUCUUCUUCCGCUGCUGCCUCCCGCCCGGCCCGUGAAGGCGCGGUGGGGGCUAUUGCCGGGCUCGAGGAGGCUCCUGACAACGAAAAUUACACUCUUAAAGGGUGCAGUUUAAGAGGAGAAAUAGUACAACAAGAGAAGAAAUAGUACAACAAGAGGAGAAAUAGUGCAAUAAGAGAAAAAAUAGUAUAAAUAUCUCUUAAAUGGUGCAGUUUACAUCUCAAAGAGUGCAAGAAGAGGAGAAACAUUUUAAUAUCUCUCAAAGAGUGCAACUUUCAUUCAAAGAGUGUAAUUUUAAUCUUAAAGGAUGCAGUUUACAUAUGAAAAGUGUAAUAAGAGGAGAAACAGUGUAAAUAUCUCCUAAAAAGUGUAAUUUUCGUUUAAAAAGUGUAAUUUUUCUUAAAGCUACAGUUUACAACUUAAUAAUGCAACUUAUGUCCAUAAUAAUGCAACGUUCUUUAAAAUAGUGUAAUUUUACUUUAACGAUACAAUUUCAUCUUCAUCUUCUUUUUUUUUAAUUUUUUGUCUUUAUUUUUUUUCUUUCUUCUUCUAUAAUUUUUUUUGGUCACCCAUCUCUGCCAACGGCCACGGCGCCCGCGACGACGCUGCUAAGGACCCUCCGCUCCAAGGCUGCAAUGUCGCAACGACCUCCACUGUGUCGGCGUCGGCGAAGAUGCGUCGUCGUCGGAGACAGCAGAGGAGGAGGGAGAGAGAGAGGAGGACGAGAAUGGCGAGGAAGGGCGAGAGAGAGCGAGAGAGGCGUCGUCGUCGGAGACGGUGGAGGAGAGUCGAAGAGAGAAAAAAAAAAGAGUCGUGCCGCGGCUUCGGCGAGGUCGGAGGUGAGGAAGGUGGGGGGUGCGAGGGCGAGGGUGAGGGCGAGGGCUAGAGCAUGAGGGUGAGAGGCGAGACAGGCGAGGCUGGCCGUUUUUCGACGAGAGAAAAAAAAAAUGAACGAGAGAAAAAAAGAGAAGAGAAAAAGAGGAGAGAGAAAAAGUAAUAAGGAUAUUUUGGUCAGUUCGCUGAAAAUCCGGUCAAAAUCUGCAAAAUCGAAAAAAGUGGCUCACUUUUGUAAAAGUGCAAAACUAGUGGAUUUUUAUGCAAAUUGGCCUAAUUUAAAAGGUUUGAUAGUUCCAUUUCAUAAAAAAAAAAUUUGCCAUUUUUUAAACCCAGUAUCCUUUAUUCUCCCCUCCAGUUCCCCUUGCUCUGCUCUCUUUUCUAGGGUUUAUGGAAACCCCAACCACCAAAACCUGAACCAUUCAUGGGGCUGCUCUCAUCUCCUCCUCCCCACUCCUCUAAACCCUACUCCGAGCUCUCCAAUCGCACCCCAAUCCCACGAUCACAUCCCCACCGUCCCUCCCCAAACCCUAGAAUCCCCCACCUCACCUCCUCCGCCGCCGCCGCCGCCGCCGCCGCCGCCGCAGCAUGAGGCGACGCGCGGCGGCGCUCGUCCUCUCCCGCUCGUCGCCGCUCUCCCCCUUCGCCGGAGCCGCCCCUCCGUUCCCGCCGCACAAAUCCGGGUUCUCCCGCGCGAAUCCGUUCAAAAGGCCCCGCCUUUGUGCCCUCCUCUGCUGCAGUGGCACCUGCUCCUCUUCUUCCUCCCCCGAUGAUGAUUUGAGUGGCUUGGUCGAUCCUGAGUUCUCUGAUCCGUCGAACGGAGACUCACGCGGUCGAGGGAGCCAUCACGGGGGCUCCGUCUCGGCCAAAGACUUCGCCUUUUUGCAGGAAGCGGCGGCGGAGCGGAGCUCAACUGAUUUGGGCGAGUUCUCUCCUGAGGGCGUUUUGAUCUCCAAGGCGAUUAGGGCUAGCGGAACCGACUUUGAUAGCAAAACCGAGAAGUUGUUAAGGCGAUUCAGAGAGAAAAUAGAUGAAUCGAUAGUGAUCGAUGUGCUCAGGCUCGUGAAAGUUCCGGAACUGUGCAUCAAAUUCUUUACCUGGGCCGGCCGCCAAAUUGGGUAUGCUCAUACGGGCGCGACAUAUGAUGCGCUAAUCAAAAUUUUGGGUUUUGAUGAGAAAAGCAGAGUCGCCAAUCAGCUUCUACGCGAGAUUGGAGAUGAUGACCGUGAAGUGCUCGUCAAAUUGCUUAAUGUAUUGGUUAGGAAAUGUUGCCGUAACGGGCUUUGGAAUGAAGCCUUAGAGGAGCUCGGAAGGCUUAAAGACUUUGGUUUUAGGCCAUCCAAGGUUACAUAUCAUGCUUUAAUUCAAGUUCUUUUAAGUGCCGAGAGAUUGGAUAUGGCUUUCUUAGUUCAUAAGGAGAUGUCGGACUCAGGUUUUUGUAUGGACAGGUUCACUAUGGGGUGCUUUGCCCACUCUUUGUGCAAAGCCGGGAGGUGGGUCGAAGCUCUCAACAUGAUAGAGAGAGAAGAUUUCACGCUCGAUACGGUUCUAUGCACUCAGAUGAUAAGUGGGUUGUUGGAGGCUUCUCUUUUUGAAGAAGCCAUGUCUUUCCUUCAUAGGAUGCGGUCUAACUCGUUCGUCCCGAAUGCGAUAACUUAUAGAACGUUACUAUCCGGGUUUCUGAGGAAGAAGCAGCUUGGUUGGUGUAAGAGAAUCAUUAAUAUGAUGAUCACCGAGGGUUGUAAUCCGAGCCCAUCCCUGUUUAAUUCCCUUGUUCAUGGUUAUAGCAAAAGUGGAGACUAUGAUUAUGCUUAUAAGCUGCUAAAAAAAAUGGUGGCUUGCAAUUGCCCUCCGGGUUAUGUGACUUAUAAUAUAUUUAUUGGGAGUAUAUGCGGUAGUGAUAAAUUACCGAGUUUGGACUUAUUGGACUUGGCAGAGAAAGCUUAUUACGACAUGCUUAAUGCGGGCGUUGUUCUCAAUAAGGUGAAUGUUUCUAAUUUUGCUCGAUGUCUAUGUGGGGUUGGAAAGUUUGAUAAGGCAUUUGAGAUCAUAAAGGAGAUGAUGAAGAAGGGGUUCGUACCUGAUACUAGCACGUACUCCAAAGUCAUUGGUUUUCUUUGCGAAGCUUCUAAGGUGGAGAAGGCUUUCCUUUUGUUUGAGGAGAUGAAGAGGACGGGUGUCGUUCCCGAUGUUUAUACCUACACUAUUUUAAUUGAUAGCUUUUGUAAGGUUGGACUCAUCCCACAAGCGCGAAUUUGGUUCGAGGAAAUGGAGAGAGGUGGAUGCAACCCAAAUGUGGUGACUUAUACGGCACUUAUACAUGCUUAUUUGAAGGCUAAGCAAAUUUCUGAGGCAAACGAUCUUUUCGCGAGAAUGGUCGGCGAUGGAUGCCUCCCUAAUGUAGUGACAUACACUGCAUUAAUCGAUGGCCUUUGCAAAGCUGGUGAAUUUCAAAAGGCAUGCAAUAUAUACUCCAAAAUGAUUGGGGUUAUUCAAACUGCGGAUAAUGAUAGACACUUCGAAGAUGACAAUUUUGACUCCUUAGAGCCAAAUGUCUUUACUUACGGAGCAUUGGUGGAUGGUUUGUGUAAAGCCCAUAAAGUAGUCGAGGCCCGCGAUUUACUCGAUACAAUGUCAUCUAAAGGUUGUGAGCCAAAUCAUGUCGUUUAUGAUGCUCUUAUCGACGGCUUCUGCAAGGCCGGAAGGCUCGAUGAUGCACAAGAGGUUUUUGUGAGAAUGACUCAACGUGGUUAUAUGCCUAAUGUUUAUACGUACAGCUCCUUGAUUGAUAAGAUGUUUAAGGAUAAAAGACUUGAUCUUGCUUUGAAGGUCCUCUCUAAAAUGUUAGAGAGCUCUUGUGCGCCUAACGUUAUUACUUACACUGAGAUGAUUGACGGGCUCUGCAAAGUGGGAAAAACUGAGGAGGCUUUGAAGCUUUUAUCGAUGAUGGAGGAGAAAGGCUGUAACCCUAAUGUUGUAACUUACACUGCAAUAAUAGAUGGGUUCGGUAAAGCAGGUAAAAUCGACAUGUGUCUUAAGCUAUUCGAGCAGAUGACAACAAAGAGUUGUGCUCCAAAUUUUGUUACUUACCGGGUUUUGAUCAGCCAUUGUUGUGCCGCUGGGCUUUUGGAUGAGGCCCACAAACUGCUCGAGGAAAUGAAGCAGACAUACUGGCCGAGAUAUGUAGCAGGUUAUAGCCAUGUGAUUCAAGGGUUUAGUAAGAAGUUUAUCGCCUCGCUUGGGCUUUUAGAAGAAGUGGCUACUUAUAGUGCGGUGCCCAUUGCUCCUGCUUAUAGUAUGCUUAUUGAUAGUUUCUCCAAAGCUGGUAGGCUGGAGGUAGCACUGGAAUUGCACAAAGAGAUUAUGGAAACGGCACAAUGUCCGGCAGUUGCUAGCAAAAACAUGUAUGCAUCAUUAAUUCAAGGGUUUUGUUUGGCGUUGAAGGUUGAAAAAGCUUUCGAAUUGUACAGUGAGAUGAUAAGGAGGGGACUUGUGCCUGAUUUGGCCAUCCUCUUUUGCCUCAUCAAGGGACUCUUAAGAGUUAACAAGUGGGAUGAAGCACUCCAACUGUGUUAUAGCAUACACCACAAUGUAAGCUCUUCCUCCUUCUCCCCCCCCCCGCCCCCUCCACACACACACAUACAUACUAUAUGCUUUCCAAGUUGAAUUGCUGCAUAGAGGAUAUCUUUUCUAUAUGUUUUGUCAAAUUUAAUGGAUUAUGCAUGGAUAUCUAAAUGAUGGUACCUUGCUUUCUAGAUUAUUAUUAUCUUGCUAUGGAUCUUAAGGAAGUCUUUAUAUUUUUUCGAGGGCUGCUUUGUAGUUAAACUCAUUAGUUUCUUUACAAUAAAAUCUUAUCUUUGUUAUUUUCUUUCAAAAACUACCGUUGGCGUUCUGCAAUUUGUUUGAUUGGUAUAACGUCGCGAGUUGAUUGUACUAAAGCAUUUAUGUUAGAACGCUUUAUUUUAUCUGUUAUGUAAUCUUGUUAUAGUUCUCAAUCGGUUGUUCCUUGACUUAUCUCUGUA